UAUAUAUAUAUAUAUGUUUUUUUGUUCCUAAAAGUUUCCUUAAAAAUCUGUCAUACGUAUUUUUUUAAUAUAAAUUUUGUUUUUGAUUUUUUCCCCUUUCCAUAGAUAGAGUUUUCCCUAAAAAGUUGCGUAGGACUCCUAACAAAAAAUUUGGCACAUUACAUUUAAUUCCUUAUAGUUAUGGGAUUCUUCCUUAUUUUUUUUUUUUCCUAUAUUCUAAAUAUUUGAAUAAUAUUUUAAUGAUAAUUAUUUUUAAAAAAUAGUGAAAAAACGAUUUUGUUUAUUGAGUAGUAUUUUAAUGAAGGACAAAAAGUUCAAAUUACUUUUCUAAGGAGCUUUACACUUUUAAUAUAUGACUUUACACUUUUAAUAUAUUCUAAAUUAUAAAUUAUAAAUUAUAAAUUAUAAAUUAUAAAUUAUAGAUAUAGAUUAUAUCACACCCGGUGAAAUAGUCAAAACAAUUACCUACAUGUCUAAUAUCAAAUUCUUUGCCUUCAUGUGUGUCAAAGUUGUACACUGGAGACGGCAGUGAAUUUACUUUAGGUCAAUUUUAUAGCUCUAUCCGGUCCCCUAUAUGAAGAUAGAUAGCACUUUAUGCCUUUUAUUUUAUUUGAAGAUAUUGGUUAGAUAUUUAUUGAGUUUUGAAUUGGAAUUCUAGUGACGAUGGAAUAAAAUGCUAAAGUAAGGGUAAAAAGUUAGAAAAAGCAUCACUUCAAAGUUCAAGUUUUCUUCUUUAGUGUAAUGAGUUUUGAGUGCAUGAAAAUAUUAGAAGUUCGUUGUACUAUAGAAGUUGAGUGGUGCCAAGCAUUUUAAAUUGACAAAAAUAAUAAUAAUAACAAAUCUAAUGUAAUUUUAUAAUGGAGUUUGGGAAAGAUAAAAUAUACAUAAUUUUUAUCUCCAUCUACGUGGGUAGAGAGAUUGUUUUCAAUAAAUCUCCGGUUCAAGACAAAUAUUUUGAAAUAGGAUUGCAAGAAAAAUAAAAAAAUAGCAAAAUAACAAGAUACAAACCAAAUAAAACUACACGUAGUAAUAAAAAAAAAUAAAAGACUACACAAUUAGUACUUAAUAAUAAUAAGAAGAUGAGAGGAGGCUAGCCUCAAUGUCCCCCACAUAAAGUGCGAGGACAUGUAACUUCCUACUAACCUUUAACCUUAAUCCUCGACUAUAAAUCCUUUCUAGAAUAAUGUCCUUAAUAAGUUGAAAUUAUGCCAUGUCCUUAACUAAAAGAUCAUAAACAUUCUUAUUGCAUAUUACCCCCGAAAGUGAGUCUACAUUUCAUUCAUUCCGGUCUAAUACUAUGUGCAACAUCAUUUUCAAUCUCUGUCUCCUUGAAUUGUUGACACAAGAUAUUUAGAAUUUUCUCUCUUGGUGUGACUUCCAAGCUUAUCAUUAAGUCAACGCACGUCAUGCUAAUCAAAAUUAUGUCAUUUAUGAAUUACAUAUAUCACGACACGUUUCCCAAACUGUCAUGUCAAUUUGUUCAUCAAUAAGGUAAAAGUGAAAAUAUUUUUAAAGGCAUAAUACAUCGGCAGACUCCUUAAGUACGCACCAUCUUCCACUUAGGUACCUCAAGUGGACGUCGCUCACUUUUGACACCUCAAGUAGCCAUAACGUGUGCCACUUUGGCACCUUUCGACACCAACUCUAGUGGGUGAAUUACACGCGCGUCUAGUAUGAAUUAAAUGGCCAAUUAAUUUGUGCCAGCUCAUUUUAAAUUGCCACGUCAUUAUAUGCAUCCACAAUUUUUUUUAAAAAAGGAAAUAAAAUACAUUAUAAGGUGUCCAAUGAAUUAAUGACACGUGACUUUUGACCAAAUAAUUACAAAACUUCAUCUUACUGACCCAACUAUUCUUCAAGCUCUCCAUCAAUGAAGGUUGCAACCUCUUCGUGGAAAAUGGAAAGAACACAGUCGUUCAAAAGUACUUCCGUGCAUUAAAUAUGCAAAGGUAAAGCAAUUUUCAGAAAUGCACUGGGGAAGGUAUCACAAUUUCAUUAAUCAUAAGAAUCAACAAUCAUUGAAUCAGAAAUGUAAGCAUCACAAGAAAUUUUCACCACCAUUACAACAAAAAGGAACAUGUUUUAAUUUAACGAAAAAAAGCGGCAACACACUUCCAACAUGAUAUGUUUGAUAAAACCAAGCGAGAUGUAUUGAUUACCAUUUACCGAAUCUGGUUUAUUUUCUAUCCACAUUAAUAGCUUCUCGAAUUUCAGAUAUAUGAUUAAAAAUUAUGGAGGAGAAGAGGCCUGUGUUCAAUUAGAAAGUUAAUCGGUAAAAGAAAAUUAAUGGAGGUUGAAAGAUGUAGGAUACUCCAUUAAUGGAGGUUGGAAGAUGUAGGAUGAAAAAAUAGGGAAGAAGUUGAUUAAAUUAAAUGAAAAAUGAGCGGCCAAAAGCAAGUGUGAUACACCUUCUUUGCUGAAUCAUCAAAAGGUGCCAAAAUAACACACUUUAUGGCUACUUGAGGUGUCAAAAGUAAGCGACAUCCACUUGAGAUGCCUAAGUGAAAGAAGGUACGUACUUCAGGAGUCUGCCGUAUUCUGCCUAUUUUUAAAGAUGGACAACAAGAUCACCAUCUCAAAGAAAAUUCUUUCAUGUUUUGUUAUAUCAACCAGGUUUGGUCAUCGAUUUUGGUUCCAAAAUAUAAAAUAAUAUUUGGAGAUCAUUUUAAAUAAUCAUUCGUUUAUAAUAUUUUCAUAUUAAUUCAACUUCAAAUGUAAAAUAUAGAAUUUUGAAGUUUGAAAAAUAGGUCUGAUGAGUUUCAAAUUUUCACUAACAAAAGUUUCCAACUUUCUUUUCAUAUCAAAAUACAAAUUCUACUUUCAUUUUGUUUUUCCAGAUCUUAGUUAAAUCAUGUCCAAACACGCCUACUAUAUUUGGAGCAAACUUAACAUUUUCCUAUAUUUGGUAUCUUUGGAAUUGUUGUUGCCAUUAGCUAAUAUUGAAUUGCCUGACACCUUUAACUAGCACAGUUAUGUGAAAGGUUGGAUACCAUUAAGAGCCCCCUUUUACCCCUCCUGCUGAUGAGUGGGACAUUUCCAUGUGAAUGAUGGUUGAGCAAUAACACAGCUUUCACAGUUAUCCUUUACUGGUUUGAAUCAUAGAACAUAAAACAUCAAACAUAUAUAACAAAAUGGAAAUAUUUUUGAACUUUUACCAGCUGGUUUAGCAAUGUUGAGUUAAAACGCAAAACUUCGGUGAUAUCUCAUGGCUUUAUUCCAAUAUUUGUAUGAUAAUAUAUUAGUGUUGUCUAUUAAUUUCAUACGUAUUACUUUUUGGAAUGAAGUUGUAAGUUUCUGGGACAGAUUACUGCAUUUGCUUCCUACGUACACUACAGUGUCAUUCAUACUCGUGAAGAUACAGAAGGUGUCGGGUGCAACUCCAAAUUGUUGAUUAUUUUUAUUUUAUUUUUUUCAAUUUACAUUAGUGUCAUAUGAUUAAUGUUUGCUAACUUUCACUAAUUCAACUUAUUUCAUUAUAUAUAUGGGAUAACUUAUCGCAAUACUAUGGUAUAACUGGUGGAUAAAUAAUUUUGGUACGAACUAAUAUCUCACACCAAAUACGGGAUAAAAUUAUUUUAUUCCAAUAUUAUUUAUCCCUUAUACCUCACACCAAACGACCUCAAAGGUACUACCUCCCUCCAUUUUUACUUGUAAAUUGUGUUAAAAAUAGAUAUCUAUUUUUACUUGUCAAGUUUGAAAAAAUAAAGGCAGUCUGGUAUAUCGAAAUUUUCGCUAUGCAUAGGGUUUGGAAAAGGUCCGACCAUAAGUGUCUAUUGUAUGCAGUCUUAACUUGCAUUUCUGCAGGGAUUCUUUCCAAGGCUUGAAUCCGUGACCUCCUGAUCAUGACAACAAUUUAGAUAGACUUGAUAAUUAAAAAUGAUAUAAUAAAAUUAUUAUUUUAUUUAUUACUUCUUAAGAUGUGUCAAGUUAUAAUAUGGACAAAUAAAAAUAGACAGAGAAAGUAAUUCUUUAUGCAAAGUUUGGGCAAAUAGGAGAAUUCACCUAUCAGUUUCUAUUGGAAUUUUAACUAUAGGUUCCAAGAUUGCCAUUCUAGUUCUUUGAUAGUUGAGUAGCCCCAUUGGGAGUUUGGGGCUAUGUUAUUUAAUGACUCUCUUUCUAAUGUUGGGUCUUUACUAUAAUAUGCUCAAUACAAUUUUACAAACGAGGUCUGAUGAGAGGAUAGUACGUAUGCAACCAUACGCUUACCUAGUAAAGGCAAAGACUGUUUUUCUAUACACUCAACUAAAUCAUAUAAUCAAUCUAUCCUCGUUUAUAAGUUAACCUCAUUUUACUGUUAUUAUUGUUACUCGCAUCAUCAAAAGGACUCAGGAGCCAUGCCACUGGCAGGUCCAAGUAGCAAUUAAAAUUAAAUAGAAACUGUUUGGAAGAAAAGCAGGAAUACAUAGGAAAGGAAACAGAAAGAAAAGGAGAGGGAGGUAUGGAAUAUUUCUGUCUUUAACAGGCUGUGUGUGUAUUGCCUUUCCAAAAGGUCCAAGUUCUCUGUUUCAAGUAACAGACACUGGUCAUAUCAACAAUUUGAACGUAGAUAUUGAAUUUUAUUAUGCAAAUAUUAUUAUUUACAUUUCGUUACGCUCACAUACAAAUCAUUUACACAAAGAAAUGAGGUUACAAUGGUAUGGAGAUUCUCCUGUCAGUUUCUGUAGCCUUUUGCUGACGUUUUGAUCUUGGUCCCAUGGUACCAACUUACUAGCCUGCAGACAAAUUGCUUGAAAACCAGCAGAAACUUGUAUGCCUAAAGUGCCCUCUUCUUCAAUCAAUUGAAAGCUGGAACAAGUAGCAAAAGUCUUCAACCACAAGAAGUAUGCCUUAAUCUCAUGCUAUUUGGAUUGGCUAUAUGAUGUCUCGUUGAUCAUGUCCAUCUAUUUAAACUCAUCUCGAAUUAAUAUUAUACAAAAUAAAAACAAAAAUUAAUAAAAGUUCACACUACGUUUUAGUGGCAUAGAGAUUUUGAGACCGAACGACUCCUAGAAAGAUAAAGACUCAAAAUAGACAUAUUAACAUGCUAAAACAUAUCCCCAACUAAUUGAUUUCACCUCCACAUUCAUCGCUGGGUUUGUAUGGAUUUCAAGAAAUUAUAGGUAUUUCAGAACAACUUCCACGUGAUUCUUUUUUAAUACCUUUCACUCACCAUGAUUUCACACCUUCAAAAUAGUGCAUAUUCAUGACUAAACCAUUUUAAAGGGUCUUUUUUGAUUUUAUACUAUGUGCUACUUGCAACUUCUGAUGUCUUUUUUAAAUUUAUCUAAUGUUGUAUGAUUAAGCAUUCAUUUUAGUACCUACAUCUCUAGGGUAUUCAUCUUGUGGAUAUACAUUAAGGGUCGUUUGGUAAAGUGUAUAAAAUAAUACUGAAUAUGGUGUAUUAGUAAUGUUGUGAUUAAUAAUGUUGGGAUUAGUAAUGCUGAAUUAUUUUUUAUGUGAUGUUUGAUUUGAUAUAUUGAAAAUAAUGUGCUGUUAUAUUUUUAAAAUAAUAUUGUUUGUUUACAAAAAUACCCUCAACAUACUAUAACUUUGUGUAUUUUCUUUGCCAGGCUUUAUUAUUAUUUUUAAAAUAUAAAAAAAAUUUAAUAAUAUAACUAAUAACUUACGUUGGAAUUUUAAGAUUUAAUUAUUUACUUGCAGUUUUUUUUUUUUUUUUUGAUUAUCUUUUCUUUAUUCGUUCACAUUUAUUUGUUGUUCUUAUUUUGUGGUGUUAUUAAGUUAGAGGAAUGCACGUUUAACUUUUGAAUGAGACAAUAAAAUUGUUAUUAACAUAAAAUUGUGUUUCGUAGAGUGUUAAAGUUAAGCAAAAAAAUCAUUUUUAUUUGUGAUAUAUGUUAUUUACAAAAUUAAAACUUGUAUGCAAUCAUGCAAUUUAUUUUCGGAUUUUGACCAAUAAGUAAUUUUUAAGUUAAUGGAGUAGUUUUUUAUGAUUAAAAUUAUUUAGAGGAAAAUUAUCAUCUUGAUAAAUUGAAAAGAAAUAACUCAUAUUGAAUAAAUUGAAAAGAUUUAGAGGAAUUUGAGGACAUUUUUGUUUUUACUUAUAUUUAUCCAUGCAGUACAAUUCGUGAAUUACUAAUACCACCAAAUGGGAUCUAUUAAUUAUACACCCCAUAAUACCAUGUAGGGCGUAUAACUAAUACAUGUAUUAAUUAUACAUUAUUUUAACUUUGUUACCAAAUAAUGUAUUAAAUAGUACAAUACAUUAAUAUAUGGAUUAAAAAAAUAUUACACCCCACUAAACGAAUCCUAACUGUCAUAACAUUGUUGGUCUUUAACUAUCUGUCAUAACAUUGUUGGUCUUAUAAUUAUCUUAUUGUAACUUAUGUUUCACUUUGAUACGUAUCUUUCUUUUAUUUUAAAGCGUGUUUGGUGGUACGAAGGAAAAUAUUUCUUCAUUAAAAUGAUUUUUUGAAAAUUAAGUUAAUUUUUUAUUUAUUUUUUAAUGUUUGGUAAGUAAGUAAAAAAAUAUCAUCUAAAAAAUAUUUAUAUGUUAUGUAACAAAAAAUAUAUAGUGGUGUGAGAGGGUGGGGUGUGGUGCCUCGUGGUGGGAUGGUCAAAGAGUAUGGGUUAGACGGCGUUGGAUGAGUGAGAAGAUACAAUAAUCACAAAAUUUCACAAGAAUUUAUUUUUCCUACUUCCAUUAAGAAUCAUUUUUCUCAUUUAAAAAAUUUAUUUUAAUAAAAAAAAUAUUUUCUGAAAAUUUUGUCGAAUCAAGCAUGAGAAACUAAGAGAACAGAACAUUUUUCCAAAAAAUGCUUUCUCCCAUGCCAAAACACACCUUAAUACCUGGUAGAACUUCUCUAUUUCAACCAUUCUAUUUUGAUUUAUUAGGUAACAUCUUAAUUUAUCAUUACCUAAACAACAAAAACCUUAGCUGCUUAAAAUACUUUUUGGGAUAAAUUUUGUAGUGAUAUAUAUCUGAUGACAACAGCAGUGAUUCAUUUCUGAAAUUGAUGACUGAGUGGUUCAGGGCCAUGUCAUCAAGUUAUCUUUGCCCUUUUUUUUUUGCAUGAAAUAGAAUUAUUUAAUUAGUUUGUAAUUGAGGAUUAUUACAUUUAUAUCUUGUACAAGAUAUGUAUAUAGAAUUUGCAUACCAAUUCUGUUUUUCAGUCUUGACAUUUGUAUGCGCGUAUUUUCAUUAAUAUUAAUUGUUGAAAAUGAAAAACAAAUAAACAUAUUGUUACACUCCUAGUGCUUUAAGAAACAGUUUAGAAGUACAAGAUACCGAGUGCAAACAAAAUGCGUUUCUUGGUCUAGUUGAAUGAUUGAUCUUUCCUGUCUUCACCAUUUCUUAGAGAGGUAGUAAAAUAGGUAAUCUGAAAAUUAUUUUGUUAAACGGUUAGACAUAUACAAGAUGUGUGAUAAAACCAGCUAUGAAUUGCCUUUUCUUGAGCAUUGAAGGUCUUUCUGCUGGCCUUAUUUAUGUUGGAGGCUAGUAGACUGCCUUUUCUUUUUUGUUUAGGAUUGGAGGAGAGUCUUGGUGUAACUGAACGGAAGCCUUGGUAUAAUUGAUAGAAGUUGCUGCCAUGUGACCAGAGAUCCUAGGUUCAAGUCACGAAAAUAGCCUCUUGCAAAAAUACAAGGUAAGGUUGUAUGCAAUAGACCUAUGUUGUUUGGACUCUUAAAAAAUGUCAGCGGGUACGUGUCGGAUUCUUAAAAAAUAAUGUGUUUUUAGAGAAUUCGAAAUGAGUGAGGCAUUGCAGUGGAGAGUCCGGGCAACUUAGCAAUAGACUCUUGUGGUUUGGUCCUUUUCCGAACCCUGUGCAUACCGAAAGCUUUAGUGCAUUGGAUUCGCUAUGAUCAAAAAUCAGCUGGGUGCCAAUCCUUAGGACUCAAUCCCAUCCUUUGAAACACUGAAAUGGAUUCACCAUUUUACCUUUCUCCACUUGAAAAUUAGGCUUAGUUUGCUUUAAUGCAAGGCUCAAGCUAGUAGCCUAACUCACAAGUCCCUCAAGCUUUGCCACUUGAACUAAUUCCUACAGGUUAAGGGCUGUCUUUUUCUUUUUAUUCUUCCAAUUUUGUUUAUAUUUCUAGUUUCUUAGUCGUUUUAGUUUUUGAAGACUAACUUUUUCAGCGUAAUCAAAAGGUCACAUGAACAUGCUGUAGUGUCAUAGACUUAAUUGCAGCACCGAAGUCAUCAACGUCCAUGAAUCCUGUGAAAGUCCAUUAUUUCACACUUUGAAUUUCUCUAGCCUUGAUCUGGCUCAGUGUAAUGGACACAAGUCAAAUUAUUUGUUAAGUCAAAUUAUUUGUUUGAUGAUGAAUUUGCUUUGUUUUCUAGUUUGACAUAUCUUUCUGGAUUAGUAUGCUUAGAACAAAAUGGUUUGAAACUUGACUUUGACAACUCAAGUGAUAGAUAUGGUUGAGCCAGUCAUAGCACCACCAACUUUGUGUUAUUUAUGGAAUGAGAUUAAGUUAUCCAAAAAAGUAAAAACGAACAGAAGGGUUUACACUAAUGGACUCUAGAUUUCUAGCUUAAACUAAUAAUAAUUCAUAUAAUUGAAUCACAGUUGUGUUCACUUCCCAAUCUUAAACAAUUGAUUUAUUAUGAAUUUGAUUAUUUUAGACAUGUCAUAUUAUGAAACAGACAUUAAAGAACUGGCUCGUUCUCGACUUGGUUCAAACUAUGCUAUAGCAAAGCUCAAUUGGACUUGUUUUAAUACUGCUAAAGUGUUACUCAAAUGUAGGAGUUAUAGAGGAUAACUCGAGAUUUGUAGGCUGAUUCAGGAACAGAGUUCGAGAUUUCAGCUCAAGAUGAUGAAUUUAAAAGAAGAGAGAAGAGAAAGAGAGAAUAGAAUAGAGAGAAUAGAAGGAUCCUUCAUUUUACAUGUUCUCUAUAUAUCAAUGAAAAUGGAAUACACUAAGAAUACAUUUGUAACUAACUUUUAAUAGAAUUGAGAAUGAACAGUGACAAUAAAACUGUCUAACUAAUUGGCAGUUAUAACUAUUUUCCAGAACUAGUUACUGAUCUGGACUAAACUUCUUUUAAUCUCCAUUUCCAGCUAUGUGAAGUCUUUCAAUCAUUAUUUCGUGUAUCAACACUCUCCCCAACAAGAGAUCCUUGUCCACAAGGAUUAAAAAAAGGAAUUCUAGUCAACAACGCAUUGUAGAACUCCCAAGUAGCCUCAUCAGCGGCUAGGCCUUGCCACUUAACCAAGACCUGAGCAACAACCUUAUUGCCCUUCUUCACCAUCCUUCUUUGCAAAAUACUCUCCGAAGAGGGGCAGUGAGGAUGAGAAAUAUCCAUGGUAGGGGGAUACGAGAUAAUAGCAGGUAGCUUAUAACACUUCUUCAGUAAUGACACAUGCAGAGUAGGGUGAAUCUUGACAUCAGCCAGAAACAAAAGAGUAUAUGCUACUGGCCCAACCUUCUUGAUGAUCUGGAAAGGACCAUAGUACCUAGCAAAAAUUUGUGAUGAGACUUAGUAGAAACAGUUUGUCGUCCGUAAGGUUGAGUCUUAAAGUACACCCAAUCACCAACGUCAAAGGAUCUGUCACUCCUAUGUAGGUCAGUUUACUGCUUCAUUCUCAGUUGAGCCCUGGUCAAAUUGUGCUUGAGAAGUUGUAAAAUUAAUUCUCUGUGGAGAAGAGAAUUAUCAACUUCAGCCGAAGCUGAUUCACCCGGAAGGUAAGGCAAGUGCAAAGGGGAAGGUCUGCCAUACAAUGCUUCAUAUGGAGUCAUAUGAAUAGCGGAAUGAUAGGAUGUAUUGUACCAGUAUUCAGCCAUAGGUAAACAAUUUGACCAAUUAAAAGCAUCUUCACUAUAGAAACACCUCAAAUAUGUCUCCAAACAUCUGUUCAGUACUUUCGUCUGGCUAUCAGAUUGUGGGUGAUAUGCUGAUGAUGUGUGUAGAUGGAACCCUUGUAAGGUGAAUAACUCCUGCCAAAACGUGCUAAGGAAAAUAGCAUCUCUGUCACUAGUAAUUGCAUCGGGAAGACUAGGAAGUCUAGUGAUAAAAUCCAUACUGAUUUGAGACCAAACUACAUCAGGUAUGACCAGCGGUUGCAAUAAACCUGGAGAAGCUACUAAGUCUGCUUUGUUUUUUUGACACACAUCACAAGCAUGAAUAAACUUCUGAACAUCAGAUCUGAGCCCUUUCCAGUAGAAAAGAGUCGACAAUCUCUUCAAGGUGGCCUCUAUGCCUGAGUGUCCACCCUGAGGGGAAGAAUGCCACAAGGUAAUGAUCUAAAUUCUCAGCUGAUGGUCAUUUCCCACUACAAGUCUUACUUUUCUCCUGAACUGAUUAUUACACCAAUUAUACUGCUUGAGAGUGCCAGGAGAGGUCUGGAGUUGAUGAAUAAGAGCUUGUGUCUCAUGGUCAGCAUGCCAACUAUCAAUUAUAGCCUGGAAAAGAUCACAAGUAGCAGUAGAAUGCACCAAUGACAUAAGUUCAACACCUGUUACCCUUGAUAAAGCAUCAGCCACUUUGUUUUCCACCCGUCUCUUAUAUUCAAUUGUGUAGUCAAAUGGCAUUAGUUUAGUCAACCACAAGAGUUGAGAGUUAGUAUGCAACUUUUGUUCCAUUAAAAACUUCAAAGGUUUCUGAUCAGUUCUAAUGACAAACUUUUGACCAAGAAGAUAUUAUGAUCAUUUGGUAAUAGCCUGUACAAUAACCAAUAACUCUCUAUCAUAUACCGACAUGGCUGCAUGUUUAGGGGCAAAAGCUUUGCUAAUAAAAGCAAUGGGAUGGCCCUCUUGCAUGAGAACAACACCAAUACCAGUCCCACUUGCAUCAGUUUCCACAAUAAAGAGUUUAGUAGCAUCAGGUAAAGCUAAUACAAGAGCCUGAGUAAGUCUUUCCUUAAGAGUUGCAAAUGCAGUAGCUGCUUCAUUAGACCAUUUGAAAUUGUCCCUCUUUAAGAGGUCAGUUAAUGGUCUAGCAAUUAUACCAAAUCCCUGGAUGAACCUCCUAUAAUAGCCGGCUAAUCCCUAAAAUCAUCUUUACUGCUUAAGAGUAGUAGGAACAGGCCAAUUUUGCACAACAUUCACCUUUUGAGGAUCAGUAGACACUCCAUGCUCUAUAAUAAAAUGGCCAAGAUGCUCAAUUCUUAACACCCUAAAGAAAUAUUUACUUUCUUUAGCAAAUAGCUGGUGCUGCAUCAUAACUUCAAAAACAGCUGUAAGAUGCAACAAGUGAUCUUCCAAGCUCUUGCUAUAUACAAGGAUAUCAUCAAAGAAGACUAAGACAAACUUCCUUAGGAAUGGUUGAAAUACAAAAUUCAUAAGUCCUUGGAAAGUUGCUGGCGCAUUUGAUAAACCAAAGGGCAUAACCAAAUAUUCAAAAUAACCUGAGUGUCCUAAAAGCUGUUUUAGGCACAUCCUCCUCUGCCAUUCUCAGCUGAUGGUAACCAGUCCUGAGGUCAAUCUUAGAAAAAAUCUUGGACCCUCCUAACUCAUCUAACAAGACUUCAACAAUUGGAAUUGGAAACUUGUUCUUGACUGUAUGUUUAUUUAAAUCUCUAUGGUCCACACACAUCCUCCAAGAACCAUCCUUCUUCCCAACUAAAUCAACAGGAAAAGCAAAAGGACUACAACUAGGUUGUAUGAUCCCUUGAUUCAACAUUUGUUGUAUUAACCCUUCAAUGAUAUCCUUUUUCACAGAUGGAUAUCUAUAUGGUCUCUUGUUUACAGGUUCAGUACCAUGGUGUAACACAAUCCUAUGAUCAAAAACACCUCUAGAAAGUGGUAACUGAAUAGGUUCUGUAAACAAAGAUUGAAACUGCACCAAUAGACUUAAUAAGCUUGCAUCUGUUUCAGGUUGUUCCUUAGUUUCAAUGGCAUACCAUUGUACAUCAGUAUUCAUAGAAGGAACUACUUGGAUCAUGCAUAGUUGAGACUGAUUACCUGAAAACUUAGCCAUUUUUCCAGCUCCUGAGGCUGUGACUUGACUUCCUGCACCUCUAAGACAAUGCUUCUUCCCUUUGUAGUAGAAUUUCAUGGUGAGUUUCUUGAAAUUCAUCUUAAUAUCCCCCAGGGUGAGCAACCAUUGAACCCCUAAAACCACCCCACAAGAACCUAGUGGUAACAGUAAGAAAUCAACAGAAAACUCAGCUCCUUGUAACAACCAAGAUAUAGUGCACAUCUUGUCAACUUGCAUGUCAUUUCCAUUGGCUGCUACAACUUUUUCAGGAAGAACUGAUCUGAUAGGGCACCCCAAUUGUUGUACUAACUCAGGGUCAAUAAAGUUGUGUGAACUACCAGUAUCAAUCAAGAUAUGUAAAGGCUUUUUAAAGUGAUAGCCAGUCACUUUCAAGGUCCUAUAUCCUAAGGAACCAUUUAAAUCAUGAAUAGAAAUUUCUAGUUGCUCCAUUGUGUUGGUCAUCUCCACUUCUUGACUUUCUUUAGGAUCUAUCAUUCCCAAAAUCUGGCCAUCACCACCCUCAUCCUGCUCCUUUAUUUCCAGUAAGUACAACUGCUUAAUAGUCUUGCAUUGAUGACCAAAAGUGUACCUCUCAUCACAGAAGUAACAAAGACCUUUAGAUCUCCUGUCAUUCAUUUCUUCAAUACUUAAUGUUCUCCGGUUAACACUUUUUUGUGGCCCUGCAUAACCAGUAGUUGGAGUUGGUAAUAGUCCUGGUUUACUCUACAACUUGUGCUCAGUUGAUCUCUUAGAUGUGUUGAGACUAUGGAAUCCACUGGAUGGUUUGAUGGCCGUAAGAUAUGCUUCUUGCAUUCUUGCACGUUUAUACACCUGUGAAAGUGAUGUAGGUUGAGUAAUCUUCACAAUAAUGUUCAAGUCAGGUUUCAAACCCCCAAUGUAACAACUAAUAACAUUUUCUUCUGACAAUUUGACCCUAGUCAAAUACUUCUCAAAUACAGCCUGAUAUUCUUUCACGCUCCCCACCUGUUUGAUCUUUUUCAGCUCCUCCAUAGGGUCAUCAAAGUCGGUCCCAAACCUAUCCACUAUAGCCAUUACAUACUUAGUCCAUGUAGGUGGUUGUAAAUAUUGCCUAUAUCUCAUAAAAGAUAGAUGCCACUGAAUGACUUUUCCCUCCAACUGCAAAGCUGCAAUAGAAACCUUAUCCUCAUUAGCAACAUUUUCUAUGGAGAAGAAUUGUUCAAUUUUGAACAACCAAGAUCGUAAAUCAUCCCCAAAAAAUCUCAAACAAUCCAUUCUCGACCAUCUUGAGAAAUUGGAAUUGUGAGUGUUAUAGCUUGCAGGGCUUUUAUCUUGCCUUUUUUUUCUGAAUGUCGAGGUCCAGAGGGACCUGCUCUAUCCAGAGGAGAUUUCUCCCUCCUAUUUUCUCCAGAUUGCACGAACUGCUCUUUCAAUUCCAUCACUACUUGAUCCAAUCUUUUCAAGCUAGUGACCUCUCCUGUCAAAGUUCCCAUAUCCGCAAUCAAUUUCUGUAGCAUAUCCUUUAUUUCUCACAUUUCAGCUGGAGAACUAUCAAUGGAUCUUGCUGUUUUCGUCAUGGUUGCCAAGAAGUCGAUUGGCUUUGAUACCAAUGUUACACAAAUGUAGGAGUUAUAGAUGAUGACUCGAGAUUUGUAGGCUGAUUCAGGAACAGAGAGUUUGAGAUUUCGGCUCAAGAUGAUGAAUUUAGAAGAGAGAAGAGAAAGAAGAGAAGAGAAUAGAGAGAAGUUUAGAAGAGAAACUGAUAUUUCUUAUUAUGAUCCUUCAUUUUACAUGUUCUCUAUAUAUCAAUGAAAAUGGAAUACACUAAAAAUACAUUUGUAACUAACUUUUAAUAGAAUUGAGAAUGAAUAGUGACAGUAAAACUGUCUAACUAAUUGACAGUUAUAGCUGUUUUCCAGAACUAGUUGCUGAUCUGAACUAAACUUCUUUUAAUUUCCAUUUCCAGCUAUGUGAAGUCUUUCAAUCAUUAUUUCGUGUAUCAUAAAGCUCGGUUGGGUUCACCUCGGUCUCAACUCAACUUGUUACUAUAGCAAGUUUGACAGGUUCAACUGUACUCCACUUGAUUCAGCUCGAUACUCAAUUUAUUUAUAGGUAAAGUUGUCUUCAUGUGUUCUAACCGUGGAAGCAACAACUAAUGCUUGCUUUAGUGUAGGCUGUUUAUAUCAUACCCGUUGAAGUGACGUUCUUCUCCACUCCUUGCUAACAUGGGAUGUUUUGUGCAGUAGCUGUUGCACUUAUGUAAUCAUAGCGGAUCCUCCAACUAUUAUGGAAGAUUAUGUCUCUUACCUCUUUUAACUUGAUUCUAUUAAAAAAAGGAAAAGGUGCUUACACAUGUAACUGUCAUUUUGUAGAGUAAAAUCUGUUAUGAAACUCUUCCUAACAACCAGCUAAGACAAGUAACGAAAAAGUAGUAGAAAAAUGGGAAUAACUCCAAAAGUAUUUAAAAACCCUAAACUGUCUCUAGCUAUUUAUAUGCACCCAAGAAACCUUCCUAACCUCUGCCUCUCCUCUGCAUAGUGUGUACUUUGGCUCCCAGAAAGUGAAUGACAUGUUUUAGACCGACCUUGUUGCUAUAUUGAUCUCUUCAUUCCCAUCUAAAAAAGAUCCCCAAAAGAGAGGAAAAAAGCAAAGUCAUCGUGUAAGAUGAGGGGAAGAUCUUCACCAAAACAAGGUGUUAUGGAAGUAGCAAGGGUUGAUAAACUAAAACAAGAACCUCAUCUCUCUGGUGCCUAUAUUAGAAGCCUAGUCAAACAGUUAACUUCUUCAAGAACCAAAGAUCCCUUGACUCCCAAAGACCAUGAUGAUUCACUAGAGAAUUCAACAAAACUUGAUGAUAGUUUGUGUAGUGAUACACAAUUGUCACCACAGCCAGCAGCACCACCACAGCCUAAAAAGAAACAAGUGAGGAGGAGACUCCACACUAGUAGACCUUAUCAAGAAAGGCUUCUAAAUAUGGCCGAGGCUCGGCGUGAGAUUGUCACUGCCCUCAAGUUUCAUAGAGCGUCUAUGAAACAACAACAGCAACAACAAUCAUCUCACACCGGGCCACAGUCGUUGCAGACUUGGCCUCAGGAAUCUUUCGGAGAAGAACAAGGGAAACAUAAAUCCCGGAGAAACGCCAGGAUUUAUGCUUCCAACACUAUGACCAACAACAACUUGCCAAGUUACAACAUGGAGAAUUUCUCCAACACAACUUUCCCUUGUCUGCCUCAAUAUCCUUACUCUUGUCCUGUUUCAUCCUUUGGUUCCCAAUUACCUUUUCAAGACCACCUCAAUUUUCCACUUCCCAACCAAACAUUAGGCUUGAAUCUCAAUUUCCAAGACUUCAGCAAUUUAGAUGCAACCCCUUUUUGUACCAGCAAAAGCAAUAACAAUUCAAUCUUUUCAUCAUCAUCUCCUUCAUCAUCUUCAGAUGAAUUCCAUUAUGUGGGAGGAGGUGCUCCUAUAGCUCAAAUGGUGAAUUCAGAAGAUUCAGGGUUGCAUCUAUCAUUGGAUGAGCAAGAAAUGGAAGAGAUAAGAUCAAUAGGAGAACAACAUGAGAUGGAGUGGAAUGACAGCCUGAAUUUGGCAACAUCAGCUUGGUGGUUCAAGUUCUUGAAGGCCAUGGAAAUAGGACCUGAUGAGAAGAACAUUGCUGAGGAUUAUGGGUGUUAUCCAUUUGCUGAAGUCAUGGAAUUCCCUGCCUGGUUCAAUCCAAAUGAAACCUGCUUGCAACAACAUGUCGAUGAUACCUAUUCUCAUCCUACCUUACCAUGGUAACUAUUUCUUGUUUCAUUUCUCCUUUUAUUACUGUACUUUUCUGAAUGCUAUGCAAUAUUUUCGUUAUUAUUUGCUAUGUCUGCUCUACCUUUGUGUAAGCUAUUUGCGUCCAAGGUCUUUCAAAAAUAGUUCCUAUAUAAUUACACAGAUAUUAUUUAUUUCUUCUCUCACUUUUUAUUUUAGCUUGUUUUUCACUUCUAAAUAUUAGGAAAUAUUUUUUGUUCCUAGGUCGUCUUACUGUACUAGAUGCUCUUUGUUUAUUUUUAUUUUCAUUUUGUGUGGGGGAAAGAACCGCUGGCUGAAACGUUAAGAUAAAAUUGAGUCUAACUUUAAAUGUGAUCUUAUUUAUUUGUUUGAACUUCGUAUAUGGUGAGGCGAGGAGUGUAGUGCGUCGAACUAUUUUUUAAAACUUUUUAUCAUUUUUUUCAGAACAAUCAUAAUAUAUUUUACUUGUAAAUUUUGCUUGGGCAAAAGUGAUGCAUGCUUAUAGACAACACCUAGCAGCAUCAUGUUUUGUUAGUAUUAGUAUACGGUAGUAUGGGGCUUUGCUAGGAUUGACACGUCAAGCGGUGGAAGAAAUGAAACAGACAAUCCAUUGGACCCACCUUUAUUUUUUUCUUCCUUUCUUUUAUUUAUUUUCUUUUAUUUUGGGGUAGGAGUUUGUUGGGUCAGUGGGAAACUAUUGAAUUUGCAAUCAUCCUCUUGUGGAUUUAUGGUUAGUAAUCAUGCAGCCAUAUUAUAUCAUCGAUUGAUUAUAAAUUUAGGAAUAACAUAGCCUGUUGAUAUACUCCUAUUAUAAAUUUAGGAAUAACAUAGCCUUUUGAUGUAUUAUAGUCGUUACUACAUUCCAAAGUGAUAGUGAAUUUAGAUUAAUGGAAAUUGAAAGUAAAUAUAGAAGAAUGAAUUAAAAAAAAUGUAGAUAGAAUGUAUUUCUAUUCUUCUUUUCUUUAACUAAAAGAAGGAAGUUGAUGCUAUUUUAUUUACUUUCUUCAUUUUAAAAAAAAUGACAUAAUUUAACUUGACAACGAGUUUGAUAAAAAUAAAUUUUUUUUUUGUAUUUCGUGAUAUUAAAUUUAAGUUAUGUAAAAUAUAUCAAAAUGUUGCGUGAAAAAUUGAAAUUAAAAUGUUGUUAAAAAAGAAAAAAAAGAUCAACUCUUUUAAACGAAUUAAAAGGAAAAGUCUGUCUUCCUUUUUUUUUUUUCUUGGAAAUGAAGGAAGUAUUAUUUAUUCAUAUCAUGAUUCGUUGUCGUCAUCAUCAUCAAAUCUUUGACUUCUAAAUCAUUAUAUUUUCAUUGUUCUUUUAAAGUGUAUUUUUAUAACUAUAUUCAGAGAAUAUUUAUUAUGAAUAUGUGACUAAACUAGUAUGUUCUCCAUAUUUCUUAUUUUAAAUUGUUGUAUUUUACAGUAUGGAGAUUGAAGAAAUUGAAGGAAUGGAUGUGGAGUGGUUAUCAUGAAAGAAGAAGAUUGAUUGGUUUUUGUUGUAAUCAAAUCUUUGGCCUUUUACAUUUGAAGCCCCAAAUUGCUGCUUUUUAUCUUUCUUUUGGGGAAGGAGAAUUUAUGUUUCUCCAUUUCUUUAUUGUUUUUUUUUUUUAAAUUUUAUUUAUUAAAAUCAAUAAUAAAGGCAUUUUGCUACAAAUCGCAGGCUCUAGAGAAAAAUAAUAGAUGAGGGAGAAAUUAUUAUAUGUAUGGCUCCCAAUUUUCUUUUUCUGUCUAUUAUGAGAGAUCUGAUAUUUAAUGGUUCUCUAUUAUUGUAUGUUAAUUUAUAGCUACAAAAUUUUGUAUUCUAUUUGUUGGGUAUCUUUCACAAGAAGUAUUUACAAUUUCUGGGGCUAAAUUAUCCCAAGUUUUGCAAGAAAAGGGUCAUCGUUUUUCUGAACUUCUUGGUAAAGUGCCUAUUUUUACAAGCUAUAUCCUUGUAAUGUUUUUUUUCCACCAUGACUUUGUAAUUCAUAAAGUAGGAGCUUUCUUUUCUCAAGUUGGAGAAAACCAAAAAGUGUCAGUGGACAAAAAGAGAAGAUAACGAGGCACUAAAAUAAACGAAAUGUACUGUAAUGAACUCGAAUUCUCAACUCAAUGAUCAAUAAAUAAAGUGAAUAAAAUUAAUCAAUUUUAGUUAAUACGAAAAGGAGAAAUUACAAUAUAAAGAAGAGGAAUAAUAGUCGAAGGGUAUGAGAGGACUAGAGAGAAUUGGGGAUUAAAAGCAUUGUCUUUGCCUAAGCAAUUAUCACAAUUUGUAUAAGACUAUUCUUCCUAGAAUGUGCUAUUUAUUAACCCGUAUUUCACGCAGCCACUUAAUGUGGUAUUGGGUUGCUUUACCAAACCUGCUUUCGACUCAUUCAUAACAAUACUUCCGCUCUAAAAAAGAACCUUGUCCUCAAGGUUUAAGUAGGCAAGAGCAUCCUUGGGUACAGUUAGAUUCGUAAGCAACAAGGAAGUAACUUGGUUGGUAGCCUGGAUUAUUGUAGACGUGGUUGCAUCAUUCUUGUUUAGCUGCUGACUAACAUGGUAAAGAUAUGUAAUAAGAUGACCUGCAACGCCCUCAUCGCUCCCUGCUUUCGUGGCAUCUAUUCCUUCGCUCCCUGCUUUCGUGGCAUCUAUUCCUUCUCUUUCAAAUGACAUAAUCACAUAAUCGGCCAAAAUAUAGGCUUUAGUAUCAAAUAAUGAGAUGCUAAGAAUAUCAUCAAGAGUACUACUAGGAUCAAAAGAAGCUUCAGGAGCACUUGAAAUAUGAUAUCGAUACUACUUAUUAACACUCUUAGAUCUGUCAAAGCUAAAAUUAUCCACCUUUAAGUAUCGAUGAACAGUUUUAAAAGCUCCCUCUCCACCAAAUCUCUCCAUUGCAACUGUUAUAAACCAAUUACAAUCAUGUUUUUCAUUGUUUCCAGUAAACUUGUCAACAAUAUUAAAUUAAGUUCAGUUACAACCUGCCCUUCAACUGCACACUUGUUCAAGAGGAUGAUAUACUAUAAUACAUUACGUAAGCCAUGAUUGUAAUCUAUGACACACAACUAAAUCUAAGGUCUCAAUGACAACAAUAAAUGUGUAACCAGUAGGGUGCAGAGCUUGAAGCUUCAUCUUACAUUCACUUCUUAAUUUUAAAAAUUUCCACCCCUGUAGCAUGGCAGCAAGUGCAGCUGCUGCAAGUUUUCUAUUACAACUGAAGUUAGCAAAAAGACAAGCAUUUGUCUUGGAAUCAAUCUCACCAAUUAUGACAAAACCAUCGAAGUAGAAUUCCUUUGCUAUUUCAACCAAUUGAUCAACUUGGGCAAUGAAACCCAAUAGUAAAUCUGAGAAAGGUGGUUUUGGAAGUGGUCGUGACAACCAAGGCCGACCAAUUUGUACACCCACCUUGUUAUUGGACAUAUCAUUAAACAAUUUGCCACCUUUCACAGAACCAUCAAGAACAAAUACACUAGAAUAUAGCGAAAUAGACAAGUAGUUCGAUAUAGCCAUAUAUAGAUGCCCUCAAACAUAAUGGAUGGAGAAACAGACUCACCGAGAUCAAAUGAAAAAUGUAUGGAUGCAUGCUUGUGCAUCAAUCUAGUUUCUUUCAAAAUCAAGGGGUCACUUCUUUUGCAGAGUGAGUCGACUUGUUCAUUGUUAACCAACUAUUACUUGGCUCUUUGAGAAUAAAUACCAAAUAAUUUUUGUGUUUUGUUUACUAUAACAUGAGCACCUAUUCAUGUGAUCUGCCAUGGCUCGCCUCUUCGAACAUUUGUAUCUGCAACUCCAAGAUCAAGAGGCAAGGGAUCCUCUUCCUUGUCAUCCAAAUUUAAAUUAGCUAUCUCCUCUGAGUUGCAGAUCUUCUAUUUUGCUUGAUUUAACAAAAUUUCAGCCCCCUCAGUUUUAACUUGUACUGAUGUAUCCUCAUAUUCACCCUCUUGUUUCAUAACAUCCGGUGUUUGAAACAAUGUUUCAAUAUCUACAAUAGUUUCAGUUUUACUGUCCGACUUUUUAUCAAACACCUUGUGCGCAUGCAUUUUGCCAAAGCCCGAUGAGCUAGCCUCAACCCAUUUUCGUACUCAGUCACAGAUGAAACUUGAUUAGCCAAUCUACCUUCUAGUAAUUCCAGAUGUCAUUUAGGAAAAUUAAUCAAACACUUUUGCCGUAAAUAUUUCCAAUCAACCAAUUGCUUGUUCUGAAAAAGCCAUUGGUACCACGAUAAAGCGGCCCUAUCGAGAUAAGACGAAACUAGAGAUAACUUGUGAUUUUCUGCAAUUUCAUAAAAAUUAAAGUAGUGUUCUGCCUCAGAGAUUCAUAAAUCGGAAUUUUCGCCAUAGAAUCAUGGGAAUUCCACCGGAAUAGGUUGACUUAUUCUAGGGAACCCAAUUCCUGUAAUAAUGAACGAAUUUCAGAUGUCUCCUUUGACAAUGAAUCUUUCCUGGUGUAAAUUGAAUCACAAGGGGUUCGGAAUGUUUGAUCCUCCAUUGAAGACCUCUGGAUGAAAGCACCAAUAUAACAAACCUGAAUUCUCAACUCAACGAUCAAUAAACGAACAAAACUAAUCAACUUGAUUAAUACAGAAAGGAGAAAUUACAGUAUGAAGAAGAGGAAUAAUAGCAGAAGGGGAUGAGAGGACUAGCGAGAAUUGGGGAAGAGAAGUAUAGCCUUUACCAAGCAAUCAUCACAUUUUUCAUAAAACUAUUCUUGCUAGAAUGUGCUAUUUUCUAACCCAUAUCCCACACAUAACCACUUAAUAUAAUAUUGGUCUGCUUUAUCAUAACUAUUUUCUGUCCAUUCAUAACAUGGACAACCUAAAAUUAUUCUUCGCUUCAGUUGGCUAAGCUCCAUGAUGCUCUUAGUUUUCCUGCUUAUUCCUAAUUCCCCCAAAUCCAUCAGCAAAGAGUGAAAGAACCAAGUUUACUGUAGUGAUAGCGAAAUUUAUAUAUAUUUGUAUGUAUUUAGUGAUUAUCCCACUACUUUCUUUGAUUCCACUCUCUUUUUUUUCUUUCUUUUUCCAGUAAUUCAACCUAUCCCAAAAAAUUCAGCCUAUGAAUUUAAUUUAGAAAUAUAUGAUACUACCUAGCUCUUUUAAUAAUAAGCAAAAUCAAGGGAAAAGAAAGAACGAAGAGCAACUUGUUAGAAUUUCUUUCCACUCUUUCUACAGUGACUAUAAAUUCUUCAUAAUUUAGGGUGUUAUGUGUAGAGGAAAAUAUUUUUGACGAAAAUAAUUUUCUAGAAAGUGUUUUUUGAAUUAUAAGUGAGUUUCUUAUUAAGUGACCAAGAAAAAAUUAUUUCAAAAGCAUUAUCGGUUAGCAAAAUAAGUGGAGGCGGGAUGAGAUGGGAGUGGGGGAUUUGGUGGGUGGAGAAUAGACAAUAAACUUUGGAAUGUCACUUAUGCAAUAUGUUUCUCUAUUUUCAUUAGUGACGUCAUUUUUUCUCAUUUUUGAGUAACUUAUUUUUCUAAAAGAAUAUUUUUGACCAAUCAAACAUGUUUGUAACUUUCAUCUUUUUUUUUUUUUUUGAAAUGUCACAGGUUGACCCAUCUCAAAAUAAUUGACUCAUGUUUGAAAAAAAAAGUAAAAUACACAAUCUUAGAUUGAUUAUUAUAAAUUAUAGCAGUACUUCUCAGAUUGCUAGUGAUAGUAAAUUUUAAAAUAAAAAAAAUAAAUAAAAAUAAAAUUUUUAUUUCUGUAAACUUAAUUCAAUGAUUAUAAAAAAGUACAGUUAUAACUUGUAAUAAACAAUCUAAAAAUACAUAUAGUAUAAUUUUCACUUUUAACUCCACUAAAUGACCCUUCGAUUUGGUCAUUUUGGCUUAGGUAGUUCUGACACAGUUCAUAGAUCAUACUGAUACAAUCCAUAUAACAUACUGAUACAGUUCGUAAUGAAAAUAGAGCAACGAAUUUAUGAGUAGAAUUGUAACUAUAUAUACUAUACAUUUUUUUUAAUAUGAUGUGCAUAGAAUUUGUACAUUGCUGUAUAAAAUAUGUAUUAUAUAUAGAAAUUGUAUUGUUAUUGUAUGAAAUAUAUAUUUGUAUAAGAUAUGUGUUGAGUUUGUAUCAGUAUUGCAUAAGAUUGUUUGCAAAUGGCUAGAAAAUAAAAUUAAAAUUCAAUGACCAUUUUCAUGUCAAUAAUUUCAGCCGAAGUGCUAUUGUGUCCUUUUCCUUUUUUUGUAAAUUAUAUCAAUGGGAUAACUUCAUACAAGAUAUGAAUGAAAAUAGUCUUUAUCUCACCUUAAAUAAAAAUCAUUUAGUCAAAGAAAAAAAUUCUGUUGUACUUGAAUUAUGCCUCAUUCUCCACAUUUAUAUAUGCAUCUCUUAAUAAUUUUUGUAAUUAAAUGACUAAAUAUCUAUUUUUCUAGAUUCUUUGUUAAAAAAAAGAAGCUUUUAUUUCAUGUAGGAUUUGAAUGUAGUUGGGGUGUGUGUGUGUUGAAUUACUCCUUUUGAAUUAACAGUCGACUUACUUAAACAAAUAGUCGAUUAUUGAAGCAGUAAAGUUUAUAAAAUAUCGUGUUGAAAAGGAAUGACAUCAGAUAUUUUAUACUAGUUGGGACCUCUAAUAGAUUUUACUCUAGUCCUCUUGGGUUUCAAGGGAUUCGACCAGUUCUUUAUAAAUCAAAUCAAAGUACAAGAAUUGAGUCAAGUUUUUUGACUGUAACUCACACUUUUUUCUUUUUUUCUUACUUUUAGUACAAUGCCUUACCAACUAUGUAUUUCUCUCCUCUCUUUUUGAAAACACAGUAAACCUCAAGAGAAUAAAAUGUUUGAAUAAAGUAGAGUAAAGAACUCGAGAAGGUUGAGAUAAAAGUAUGUCUCUUUCUUUUUUUUCUAAUACUUUAAAUAGUAGUGAUUGAACUACUACUAGCCGUUGAAAAAUAGAAGGCAACUCAAAAGUUUUGCUUCUUGAAAAUGGGAUAAACAGAAUCCUAUUUCCAAGUAUAAACAAAGUUUGCAAAAAUAAACCCAAAAUCCUAAAGAAGGUGCGGAAUAAAGCAUAAUGAAAUAGGAAGUGAUAUUCCUUUCCUUUGUUGGAGAUGCUGCAUUAAAUGCUGAGGAAAGUUGAUUUCUUUUUCCUUUAGAAGUUGAUACUUCUUCCACUUUUAAUGCGAUUAGCCAAGAAUCUUGAUUAUUUAUUUUUUUAAUCCCUGCAAGGAAAUCAUCCAUUAAAAUUUGACACCAUCAAUCUCCUUAUUUUUGAUAGAUGACAAAAUAAAGAAAUAAUAUAGUCAGUCAAUUUUUAUUUCACAAGUGAUGUAUUCAGCGUCAGUUUUAGUCUCCCCCUAUUUAGAUGACUUGUUGAAUAGUAGCUCCCCCUGAGUUCAUACUAGUUGACUUGACUUAUUAUAAGCAUAAGUAUGGACCUCUCUUCCUUUGACAUCAAUAAAAAAGGAAUAAUAGCAACUAAAAAGCACUAAAAUAAAGAUUAAAUAAAUAGAGCAUUCAUGGGCUUAGUCCCAGAUACACACAAAAGUCAUCAUAGUCUAAACAAGUAAUAAAGAAACAGGACUAGGGGGUGUUCAAAAUGAUAAAAUAAAUAUGCCAAGGUUUGAGUAAUAACAUCCUUCAUAUUUGAGAACCGAGUUGAGAUGGUAGCUGAAAGAGUGCCCAUUAUAGUCUGAAUUUUGGUGGUAAUUUUAGUCACUUCCUUUAACACUUGAUCCAGUCGUACUCUGAGCCAGGCAACAUUAGUUUUUGCUUUUUUGGUAACAUCCUUGAUUUUGUUGGGUUGAAAAUGAGUUGCAAGAAGAAGAUCCUUGAUAGCAUCAAGCUUAGAGUCUAUAUCUGUCAGACGAAGAGAAACAUCAAAAGAAGGAGAGCCUUCCUUAAGAGAAGAAGAUACUUUGGAUUUUGGAGAGGAGGGAGUGACAACCGAGCAUUCUUCAAGCUUAGGAACGCAAGAAUAAUCAACCAAGACAUAUCCUAUACUUUCAAAGGCUUUGAAUUUAUAGCACUGCUUCACAGAGACGAAAGGGACACUAUCAAGAAGAAUGUUGGUAGCCUCCAAGAUAUGAGUUAUGAUCAACCCAUAAGGCAAACUAGAGGGGUUAAAAGAUGCUUUAGUCAUAUAAUUAAUUAUAAUAGAGGAGGGCUUACUUUUACCUGAGAUACAAUGCAGUAAGUGAGGAGAGCAUUACGUUGAGAUAAGGUGGAAAACAACCCAGCAUGGAGAAGAAGAGUUGUAGCAAUAAUGUGAGAAAUAACAUGAUUUUCAAAAGACAAAUUUUUGUGGCCAAGAGAAGAGGGAAGAAAGUCAGAGUUCUCAUGAGCAAUAAAACUCAAAGGUAACAUCAAAAUCAGAGGGCCAAGGAUUCUUAGAGGAUGUAGCAAACCCAUAGCAAUUAAUAUUAAAAAUAGCAUCGAACAUAGUACAGUCAAGAAAAAUCUGUUUACCCAUAACAAGAGUUUCCAAUUCACCAGAUCUAACACACCUAAGAUUUGUUUUAAAAAGAUGAAUGCGAGGUUUAUAGACAUGUUUAGGAUUAGAAUAACAAAAAAUUUCCCAUCCUUGAAAAACAAAGAGAGAUUUUAUAUGAAAUGAGGUUUCUUAAAAAGGUCUAAAUCCACCAUUCUACCAUAAACAAGAGAGUUCCUUCAAAGAGUGAAAGAGAGUUUCAUUCAUAAGUAUUCAAUUAUCAAUUUUGAUAUUCACAAACUUCACUUCCUUAGUGAAGCACUUGGAGUCAUCAGGAGUAAAAUAACGCUUACCUAUCAAAGGGUGAGAGGAGUCAGAUGAUGUUUCAGGGAGAUUUUAGUCGGACAAAUUAGAAUCGAGAAGGAUUAGAGAAGAGGCCUUUUUAUUUUUAAUUUGAGGAGGGAGCUUUUCCUAUUUCCCAUGAAGAAAUUUUUGGAGGCUUUAGCCAUGAAGAUGUGGGGGAAAGAUAGAACACACAAGAAAGAAUGAAGCGAGUAUGGUGGAAGGCUCAACAAAAUAUAAGUAGAGAGCAGAAGAUGAAAAGAUGGUAAGAAGGAUCGGUUGCCUAGGAAGACAAAAGGGUUCCAUAAUUACUGAACACGGUACAUUGUGUCGGGCGAUAAAAAGGAAAACUAAUUAAUAAAAGGACAUCAAUUAAAUCAAUUAAUCAAUAAGGGAACAUAUACGUACAAAAAUAUUAUCACACUAAAAAGAAAAAAUAACACUUUUAAAAAUAUUUUGCAAUAAUACUAAGAGAUUUUCUAACAAAGUAAAAUUUGUUGUCUAUUUAAGGUUUAGUGAAAAUAUCUGCUAGUUGAAAAUCAGUUCUAACAAAAGAUAUAUUAAUGUCACCUUUAAAAUAUUAUCUCUAAUAAAAUGAUGCUUAAUAUCAAUAUAUUUAGCUCAAGAAUAAUGCAUAGGAUUUUACAAAUAACAUUAGAGUUAUCAUAAAAUAUUUUCACAAAUAUAUCGUAAUCACUAAGUUUAUGAGUCAUCUCGAGAAUAUAUGCACAAUAUAAUUCAAAUAGAAAUAUAUUCAGAUUUAGUAGUUGAUAGAGAAACAUAGUUUGGUUUCUUGCUACUUGAAGAUAUGAGAGAAUUUUUCAUGAGUUGGCAAGUGUUACAAGUGCUUUUUCUAUCAUUUUUGUCACAUGCAUAAUCUACAUCUGCAAAAUAUUUUAGUUCAAAAUCAUUUGUCUUGGGAUACCAAAGAUCCAGAGAUGUAGUUCCAAUUAGAUAUCUGAUAAUGCAUUUGAUUGCAGUCAGGUGUGAUUCUUUAGGAGUUGACUAAAAUAUUGCAUAUUUAUAGACACUAAAUAGAAUAUCAUAUUGACUAGUAGUAAAAUCAAGUAAGAAGCCAAUUAUACUAUGAUAUCUAGAUUCAUUGUAAUAUCCCAUACUUUUUUCUAGAUAAUUUUAUCUCAAGAAUGUCUAGUCUUAGCUUCUAAAUUGAAUAAUGAUUAUUCCAUGAGGAAUUUUCAAGAUAUUCACUUUUUGUCAUAUGGGAAAUUCAAUAAGCUUUCCGUCGAUAUAAGAUUCGCCCAAAUCCGAUAACCAGAUCAGAAGUUACUACUAUUUCAAGUUUUCAUCGUAAAACAGUGCCAUAUUGGUCAGUGGUGCGCCGCACCACAAGCUAAAAUGGUAAUUGUCCUUUCCAGUGUCUCAGGGCGAUUUUCUCCGCGUCACUCCAAAGUUCUAGGUCACAAAAGAAGGGGCAAUGUGAUGGCUUCGCGUCGCGCCAUCCCUCAAUUUUUCAAUUGUCAAAAUUCAGUGACACGACGCGAUAGCGCCGUGUCGUGCCAAGGGUCCAAUUCAAGAAAUUUUCACUGAAAUUAAAUGACGUAUCCAGGGUUAAAAGGGUUAACUUUCCACCCCUAUUUAAUCCCUUUAAUACGUUACUCAAGCACUUUUCACCCAAAAUAUACUAGUUUCUCUCAAGUUUCUCUCAAGAACAAGUUAGGGUUUUCAUAGAAGCUCCAAUUUCAAGAAAGUUUCAUCGUCAAUCUUCACGAAAUUACGAACUAAGGUAUUUAUUGUGUUCAUUCAUGGACUCCUUUGUCCAUGAAGCCCAAGAAUCUCUUUUCUAAAUUCAAGUUUAUGAAUUUUCUUAUGAAUUUCAUGAUUGGGCUGUUAUUGUUCAUGUGGAUAGUGAGAAAUUGAAUUCUACUCCAUGUUGGCUGAUAAAUUCUAUGUGGGUUAAAUUAUUAUAGAUAUAGAUUCAUGCAAACCUAUGACUAAACCAUUGAAUGAUGAAAUUAUAAUUGAACCAUGAUGUUUAAUUAUUGUACAAUGAUGUUUACAUGUACCAUGCCUACAAUAUGUUUGAUUAAAUGCCUAGAUGAAAGAAAAAUGCCUAAUUAGCAUGAUACCAUGAAAUCCCCAUGUAUGUACAAGUUAUGCCUAUCACAUGUUUUGAUGAAAUGAUUCUAUAAAUGUAUUAUUGAUUAUGAUGUUAGUUAUAUGUUCAAGUAAGUUAUGCUUGGUUAGUGUCCUUCCAUCGAGUCCUGGGGGUACUCGUACCCGAAACAUUAGCUGUGUGCCUAGAGCCAUGUCAUGUUCUCACGAUACUUUCAGUCAAGCUAUGAAUCCUUAGACUUCAGACAGUCGUAUGACUCAGGAAAUCUCUAUGAUCUCAUGAACUCAGUCAGUUGUCAGAUAUUAGUAAUAUUUCGUCAGUCAACAGAAUUCAGUAACUCAGUCUAUGUUCAGUUCAGUAAAUCAUGUUCAGUGUCUAUUCAGAUGGGUGUAGAAAUUAGCACCGAGUAAGCCUUAGGAUGGGAACUCACCUAUUAUAUAAGGGUGUGAUUCUUAGAAGCAAUCCUUGCAUUCCAGAACUAUGUAGCCAACAUAAGUUGAGACAUCAUAGCCUACUAUAUGAGGGUAGAUGAGGUGUCUUAGCCUUCUAUAUGAGGGCUCCCACCAUUCUCAUUAGAGUUACCUAUUAUAUUAGGGUCACUCACAUGUUGUCCUUACCAGUGGCGCGGUAUUGACACCCUUCCAAUCAGGGCAUAGAUUGGACCCCAAUUUAGCUAUAAUGUAUCAUUUAGGGCAUGUCGGUUAGCUGACUACCUCCCACAGUCACAGUAUCAGUCUCAAUAAAAAAACUCAGAUAGUUCUUCAGAAUUUAGGACUGUCAGAUACAGUAUGAAACUUAGAUAGUUCCAUCAGAUUCAGGACCAUCAGAUACAGUCACUCAUGUUAUCAGUUAUAUUUAGAUUCAGUAAUCAUGUUAUACAGUAUUAGUGUCAGUUGUUAUGUCUCAUGCAUGUAUUCUCAUGCUCAUGAUAGUCAGUCAGUUAUUAAUAUUGUUCAUGCAUAUGAACCCCAUGCAUUUAGCCUACCUCACAUGUAUACCAGUACAUUUAAAGUACUGACGCAUUUGCGCUAUGGUGUCUUAUACCAUAGGUUCAGAGACACGAGCUCCAGAGCAACAAUAGAUUCUAGAUAUCCAUAGACAGAGUUAGAAGUGAGUUCUCAUCUUUCUAGGACAUAAUUAUUUCCCUAUUAUCUCAUUAGUUAGUUUAUUAGUUGGAUUUAGUUGGGGACAUAUCCCAUCAACUCCUUACUCAGAUAGUUCAGUUAGUUGGAGGCUUUCUAGACUAUCAUAUUUCAGACUUCAGUAUUCUCAAUUUUGUUUUGGGUAUUAUAUUACCCCACACAGAUGUUAUAUUAUUCAAAUUAUGUUCAAUUUUGAACCUUACGUCCUUUUAGUUCAUAUUUCUGCAUUAUUCAGUAUUUUAUGUAGUAUAUAGGUACAUAUAUCAGUCAUAGGUUAGCUUGUGAUCCUUCGGCGUCAUGAGAACUGUGUAGCAUUCUGGGUAUCAGAUUUGGGGCGUUACAAACUUAGUAUCAGAGCCUAAGGUUCAAUAGAGUCCUAGGAAGUCUGAAAUCCGCAUCUAGUAGCGUCUUAUACAUGGGUGUGUUGCGCGCCACAUUUAUGUACAAGAGGCUAUAAGAUGUUUUAGGAAUAGUUUCCUCUAUUUCAGUAUUCAUGUCGUGCCAGUGAGCAUACUAUCAAGUCAAUCUCUUAGUCUAAUCCAUUUCUUCCUUUCUUCUAUAGAACAUGCCUCCUAAAUAAGAAAUGGGAAUCAACCAACCUCUCUACCCGAAGAACCUUUGGGCGAACAUGUUUCUUAUGUAGAGUUUCGAGCUGCAUUUGCUACUCUUCCUCAGUCAGUUGCUGCUUAUAAUGAACAACCAACUAUCGUUUCCGCCAACCCAGUGGCCAAUUCAGCUGCAGCCGGGAUUCAGGACUUUACCCGAAUAAAUCCUCCAUCCUUUCUUUGGUCUAAGAUAGACGAAAACCCUCAGGAAUUCCUAAUUCAGGUGCAGAAGGUUGCAAACCUAAUGGGGGUUACGUAUAGUGAGAGUGCUGAGCUAGCUUCAUAUCAAUUGCAGGAUGUAGAUCAUACUUGGUUUAAGCAGUAGAAGUCAGAGAGGGCAGACGAUACAGGGUCAGUUGAGUGAGAGGAGUUUGCUUUAGCGUUCCUUGAUAGAUUCUUUCCCCUAGAGCUUAGAGAAGAUAAGGUGCUAGAAUUCAUCAACCUCAGAUAGGGCAAUAUGACAGUCAAAGAUUAUUCUCUUAAGUUUACUCAAUUAGCCAGAUAUGCCCCUCAUGUGGUUGCAGAUAGCAGGGCAAGUAUGCGUAAGUUUGUUUUUAGGGUGAAUGAUAGCGUGGUUAAUGAGUGUAGACCCACCAUGCUGAAUAAUGACAUGACUUUAGCCAGUUUCAUGACUCAUGCUCAGUAGAUAGAGGAGCAGAAGAUUAAGAUGAGGGAGAAGCAGAAUAAGAGAGCGAAGACAGGUAGUUUCAACUUUGCUCAACCUAAGUCAGAAUGAGGAAACCGUUCUUAGAUUCAUCCUAAGUCAUCAGUUCUAGCUCCUUCUUCAGCCAGUGCUCCAGUUCCUAAGUUUAGAGAGGGUAACUAAGAUAGAGCGCUAGGUUCUAAGUCCUAGGGCAGUGUUAGCAGUGCCCGCACCUAUCCUCUUUGCUAGACUUGUGGAAAACACCAUCAAGGUAUUUGUAGAGCUGGCAGUGGUAUUUGUUUCAGAUGUGGAAAGCCAGGCCAUAGAGUCAGAGACUGUCCUUAGCCAGGUCCUUAGGGUUAACAGAAUCGCUCCUCAGCUCAGUCCCGGUAGCCCAAAUCAGCAGGGUACCACCACCAGUGCUACUAGUGAGAAACACCCAAAUCAUCUCUAUGCUCUUCAGUCCCGGUAGGAUCAAGAAAAUUCUCCUGAUAUAGUUAGUAGUAUGUUACAGAUCUUUCAUGUGUAUGUUUACGCUUUGCUAGAUCCAGGAGCUUCUUUGUCUUUUAUUACUUCUUAUAUAGAAGGCAAUUUCAGAAUUAGUCCCGAAAUCCUAGCAGAGACCUCUUUAGUCUCUACCCCAGUGGAUAAAACCAUCAUAGCCCGGCAGGUAUACAGGAACUUCCCCAUUAUGAUAUUUCAGAAAGUCACUUCAGCAUACUUAGUUGAAUUAGAGAUGACUGAUUUUGAUGUCAUUCUUGGCAUAGAUUUUCUUUAUUCCUAUUGUGCCACAGUCAAAUACAGAAAUAGAAUAGUCCUAUUUCAGUUUCUGAAUAAACCCAUCCUAGAGUGGAAGGGUAGUACUUCAGCUUUCAGAGGUCAGCUUGUUUCCCACCUUCGGUCAAGGAAAUGGAUAUCUAAGGGAUGUGUCUAUGAUUUUGUUCAUGUUAAGGAUUCUAGUUUUGAAACUACCAGUCUUGAAUCAGUUCCAGUCAUAAAUAAAUAUUCAGAUGUCUUUCUCGAAGAUCUUCUAGGAAGUCCUCCCGAAAGAGAAAUAGACUUUGGCAUUGAUCUCCUUUCAGAUACUCAACCCAUAUCUAUUUUGCCAUACAGAAUAGCACCAGAAGAACUCAGAGAACUGAAAUAACAGUUGAAAGAUCUCUUAGAUAAGGGAUUCAUCAAACCCAGUAUUUCUCCGUGGGGUGCCCCAGUAUUAUUCAUGUGCAAGAGAGAUGGUUCUCUUCGAAUGUGCAUUGAUUACCAUCAACUCAACAAGGUCACGAUGAAGAACAAGUAUCCUCUUCCUAGAAUUGAUGAUUUGUUUGACCAACUUCAAGGUGACAGUUAUUUCUCUAAGAUAGACCUUAGAUCCAUCUAUCAUCAGCUCAGAGUUCGAGAAUGUGACAUCCUAAAAAUAGCUUUUCGUACUCGGUAUGGUCACUUUGAAUUCUUUUUCAUGUCAUUUGGUCUUACCAAUGCCCCAAACACUUUUAUGGACUUGAUAAAUCAUGUGUUCAAGUUGUACUUAGACAUAUUUGUCAUAGUCUUCAUGUAUGAUAUCUUGGUCUAUUCUUGCAGUGAGUGAGAUUAUGCAGACCAUCUCAGGACAGUACUUCAGACUCUCAGAGAUCAUCAGUUAUUCUCCAAAUUUAGUAAGUGUGAAUUUUGGCUAAGGUCAGUAGUUUUUCUUGGUCAUAUCGUUUCCGGUGAUAGUAUUAGAGUAGAUCCUCAAAAGACUGAAGCAGUAAGAAACAGGCCUCGCCCUAUCUCUCGAUCAGAUAUUAGGAGUUUUUUGGGUUUGGAUGGGUAUUACUGAUGGUUUGUUGAGGGUUUUCUUCUAUUUCAUCCCCUAUGUCCAGAUUGACUCAAAAAAAGGUCAAGUUUCAGUGGUCAGAUCCUUGCGAGAAGAGUUUUCAGGAGUUGAAGACUCGACUCACCUUAUCUCUAGUUCUAGCUCUUCCAGAUAGUUCAGAUGGAUUCAUAGUGUAUUGUGAUGUACCCAGAGUAGGUUUGGGUUGUGUCCUUAUGCAGCAUGGUAAGGUCAUAGCGUACACCUCCAGACAGCUUAAGCCCCAUGGGAAGAAUUAUCCUACUCAUGAUCUUGAGUUAGCUGCCGUAGUCUUUGCCUUGAAGAUUUGGAGGCAUUAUCUCUACGGAGUUCAUGUAGAUGUCUUCACAGAUUAUAAGAGCUAUGUAUUUUCUCAGAAAGAUCUCAAUCUUCGUCAGAGAAGGUGGUUAGAGCUAUUGAAAAAUUAUGACAUGAGUGUCCUUUAUAAUUUGGUCAAGGCUAAUGUAGUGGACGACACUCUCAGUAGACUGUCUAUGGGUAGUGUUGCACAUGUGGAUGACAGUAAAAAGAAGUUAGCUCAGUAAGUACAUCAACUUACCAGAUUAGGUGUUUGCUUAGUCAAUAUAGAUGAGGGUGAUAUAUGGGUUCAGAGUAGUUCAAAAUCAUCUCUAGUUUUUGAGGUAAAAGAAAAGUAAGAUAGAUAUCCAGUCUCGUCAAGUUAAAAGAGUUAGUUCAGGAUCAGAAAACGAAGGUUUUCUCCGAAGGGGGAGAUGGUGUUUUACGUUGUUAGGGUUGUCUCUGUGUUCCAGGUGUAGAUGACUUAAGACAAAGAAUUCUUGCAGAAGCGCAUGAUGCGCACUACUCUAUUCAUCCAGGGGCCACAAGGAUGUACCACGACUUGUGGGAAGUCUAUUGGUAGAGUGGGAUGAAGAGAGAUAUUGGAGAGUUUGUAGAUAAGUGCUCUACAUGUCAUCAGGUUAAGAUAGAGUAUCAAAAGCCUAGUGGUCCUAUACAGGAGUUCAUUAUUCCUACUUGGAAGUGGGAAGAAGUGAACAUGGACUUCGUGAUGGGUUUGCCUCAAACUCAUCAUCAAUAUGAUUCAGUCUGGGUCAUUAUAGACAAAAUGAUCAAAUCAGCCCAUUUCCUUCCAGUCCAUACCUUUUAUUCAAUCGAGUAUUACACCAGACUCUACAUUAGAGAGUUGGUCAGAUUGCACGGUGUUCCACUAUCUAUUAUCUCAGAUAGAGGUACCCAGUUCACUUCUUAUUUUUAGAAAGCAUUCCAAAAGGGUCUUGGUACCCAAGUUCAUCUCAGUACAACCUUCCAUCCUCAGAUAGAUGGUCAAGCAGAAAGGACCAUUCAGACUUUAAAAGAUAUGCUACGGGCGUGUGCAAUUGAUUUCAAGGGUAGUUGGGAUGGCCACUUGCCUUUAAUUGAGUUUACAUACAAUAAUAGCUAUCAUUCCAGUAUUCGGAUAGCUCCAUUUGAAGCUCUCUAUGGUAGGAGAUGUAGUUCUCUGAUUGGUUGGUUCAAAGUUAGUGAGGCCUCAAUCAUAGGGCCUGACUUAGUAUUCGAUGCUUUAGAAAAAUUCAAGUUGAUUAGAGAGAGACUCUGGGCUGCUCAAAGCCGAUAGAAGUCUUAUGCAGAUAUUUGUAGAAAAGAUCUCGAGUUUGAGAUCGGUGAUCAUAUCUAUCUAAAUAUCUCUCCCAUAAAGGGAGUGCAGAGAUUCGGCAAGAAGGGAAAGCUCAAUCCCCGAUAUGUUGGUCCCUUCAAGAUUCUCAGUCAUUUUGGCAAGGUAGCUUAUGAGCUCGAAUUGCCUUUAGAUCUAGCCUCAGUUCAUCCAGUCUUCCACGUCUCCUUGCUUAAGAAGUGUAAAGGUGACCCAACAGUUGUAGUCCCUAUUCAAAGCAUCGAUGUUCAGAACAACCUCUCUUAUGAAAAGAUUCCAGUCGAAAUCCUAGACUAUCAGACUCAUAGAUUGAGGAACAAAGAAGUCCCUCUAGUUAAAGUUCUUUGGUGAAAUCAGUCCGUCGAAGGAGCUACUUGGGAAACAGAGGCAGACAUACGUACCAAGUAUCCUCACCUUUUCUUCGCCAACUCAGAUCAAGCUUAAGGUAACAGUUCUCCUUAAGCUAACUCAAUUUCAUGUUUAGUGUUCAUCAGGAACUUGGUAUUCAGUUUCAUUCUCAAGUUCCCAAUAUAAACUUGGUAUCAGGUACCAUUGCAUAUUCAGUCAUGUACUCAUGUAUCAGUUCAGUUAUGUAAUUAUGCAUCAGACAAACAUUCUCAUUGUAAGAAAGUUCUUCAGAACACUCAAUCAUGCAUUCAUGAAUCAGUCACACAUGCAUCUGAUAUGCAUGUUUAGUAUUAUAUGUUCAGCUUUUCAGUCAUACCAGUCAUGAGAUCUUGUUCAAUUAUUCAUGUUCAGUAUGUACGUCAGUGUCUUUUCUCCCCUCUCAGUCAGUCUCAUUCAAGGAUGAACGUUCUCAAGGGGGAGAUAUUGUAAUACUCCGUACUUUUUCCUAGCUAAUUUUAUCUCAAAAAUGUCUAGUAUUAUCUUCUAAAUUGAAUGAAUAUUAUUCCAUGAGGAAUUUUCAAGAAUUUCACUUUUUUUUAUGUGGGAAAUUCAAUAAGCUUCCGUCGAUAUAAGAUUUACCCAAAUUCGAUAACCGGGUCAGAAGUUACGACUAUUUCAAGUUCUCAUCGUAAAACGGCGCCAUACUGUUCAGUGGUGUACCGCGCCACAAGCUAAAAUGGCAAUUGUCCUCUUCUAAUGUCUCAACACAAUUUCUUUUAUGUCGCACCAAAGUUCCAGGUUACAAAAGAAAGGGCAAUGUGAUGGCUCCGCGUCGCGCCAUCCCUCAAUUUCCCAAUUAUCAAAAUCCAGUGACACGGUGCGAUAGCUCCACAUCGCGCCAAGGGUCUAAUUCGGAAAAUUUUCACUGAAAUUAAAUGACCAGGGUUAAAAGGGUUAAAUUUCCACCCCUAUUUAAGCCUUUUAACACGUAAUUCAGCCACUUUUCACCCAAAAUAUACUAGUUUAUCUCAAUUUUCUCUCAAGAACAAGCUAGCGUUUUCAUAGAAGAUCCAAUUUCUAGAAAGUUUCACUGUCAAUCUUCACGAAAUCACGAACUAAGGUAUACAUAGUAUUCAUUCAUGAACUCCUUUCGUCCAUGAGGCCCAAGAAUCCCUUUUCUAAAUUCAAGUUUAUGGAUUUUCUUAUGAAUUUCAUGAUUAGGCUGUUCUUGUUCAUGUGGAUAAUGAGAAAUUAAAUUCUACUCAAUGUUGGGUGAUAAAUUCUAUGGAUAUAGAUUCAUGCUAACCUAUGACUAAACCCUUGAAUGAUGAAAUUAGAAUUGAACCAUGAUGUUUAAUUAUUGUACAAUGAUGUUUACAUGUACCAUGCCUACAAUAUGUUUGAUUAAAUGUCUAGAUAAAGGAAAAGUGCCUAAUUAGCAUGAUACCAUGAAAUCCCCAUGCAUGUAGAAGUUAUGCCUAUCAUAUGUUUUAAUGAAAUGCUUCUAUAAAUGCAUUAUGGAUUAUGAUAUUAGUUAUACAUUCAAGUAAGUUAUGCUUGGUCAGUUUUCUUCCAUCGAGUCCUGGGGGUACUCGUACCCGAAACAUUAGCUGUGUGACUAGAGCCAUGUCAUGUUUUCACAUUACUCUUAGUCAAGCUAUGAGUCCUUAGACAUCAGACAAUCUUAUGACUCAGGAAAUCUCCAUGAUCUCAUGAACUCAGUCAGUUGUCAGAUAUCAGUAAUAUUUCAUCAGUUAAUGGAAUUCAGUAACUCAGUCUAUAUUCUGUUCAGUAAAUCAUGUUCAGUGUCUAUUCAAAUGGGUGUAGAAAUUAGCACCGAGCGAGCCUUAGGAUGGGAACUCACCUAUUAUAUAAGGGUGUGAUUCUUAGAAGCAAUCCUUUUGUUCCAGAACUAUGUUGCUAGCAUAGGUUGAGACAUAAUAGCCUGCUAUAUGAGGGUAGAUAAGGUGUCUUAGCCUUCUAUAUGAGGGCUCCCACCAUUCUCACUAGAGUUACCUAUUAUAUUAGGGUCACUCACAUGUGUCCUUACCAGUGGUGCGGUAUUGACACCCUUCCAAUCAGGGCAUAUAUUGGACCCCAAUUCAGCUAUAAUGUAUCAUUUGGGGCAUGUUGGUUAGCUGACUACCUCCCACAGUCACAGUACCAGUCUCAGUAAAAGAACUCAGAUAGUUCUUCAGAAUUUAGGACUGUCAGAUACUGUCAGCUUAGAUACAGUACGAAACUCAGAUAGUUUUAUUAGAUUCAGGACUGUUAGAUACAGUCACUCAUGUUAUCAGUUAUAUUCAAAUUCACUAAUAAUGUUAUCAUUACAUUAGUGUCAGUUGUCAUGUCUUAUGCAUGUAUUCUUACGCUCGUGAUAGUUAGUUAGUUAUUAAUAUUGUUCAUGCAUAUAAACCCCAUGCAUUCAGCCUACCUCACAUACAUACCAGUAAAUUCAAAGUACUAAUGCAUUUGCGCAAUGGUGUCUUAUACCAUAGGUUUAAAGACACGAGCUCCAAAGCAACAGUAGAUUCCAGAUAUCCACAGACAGAGUUAGAAGUAAGUUCUUAUCUUUCGAGGACAUGAUUAUUUCCCUAUUGUCUCAUUAAUUAGUUUAUUAGUUGGAUUUAGUUUGGGACAUGUCCCAUCAACUCUUUAUUCAGACAGUUCAGUUAGUUGGAGACUUUAUAGACUAUUAUGUUUCAAACUUCAGUAUUCUCAGUUUUGUUUUGGGUAUUCUAUUACCCCACACAGAUGUUAUAUUAUUCAGAUUAUGUUUAGUUUUCAUCCUUACGGCCUUUUAGUUCAUGUUUCCGUAUUAAUCAGUAUUUUAUGCAGUAUACAGGUACAAAUAUCAGUCAUGGGUUAGCUUAUGGUCCUUUGGGGUCAUGAGUACCAUGUAGCAUUUUGGGUAUCAGAUUUGGGGUGUUAUAUUCAUCAACACACUUACCAUCACCAUCAUACAUAAGAAUUCAUGAGGAACUCAUAAGAGUGUUGGAGGAUUUGUCAUUUGUAAGACCCCCCAAAAUCCUAAGCUUAAUCCAGUUCUUUAAAUCUUGUUAAGGGGUUCCAGACUUCGAAAAUUUUAUUUAAGUAUUCAGACUUAGUGUUAUUUUAAUCUUCAAAAAAUGAAAAAUUUAUUUCACGACCCUUAUGGAUUUAAAAUUUUGAUUUUUAGAUUGAUUCAUGAUUAGGAAUGUUAGUAGGUCACUUUAGGUGAGUUUCGGAUUUUUUGAACUUCGUCUGAAGUAUGUUUGGGAAUGCAAAAUAGUGUAUCGAUGUGAUCUUAAUGCGCCACAUCACCCAUCGCAUCGAUCAAUAUUUUUCCUUAGCUCCCAGUGCAAAUUUUAGUGAGCUGACAUGACAUCAACGUGAUACGUCGACCCCAUCGAUGCGGCACGUCAGACUGGGCGUCACUAGGUAACUUUUUAGUCAUUAAAAUUCUACAUCCUUAGGGAUAUUUGGAUUAUUUUUCCAUGUAUAUUCAGCCCUAAAACACAAAAUUCAGCGCUCCAUAAGCAAAUUACACUCAUUCUCUCUCAAGUUACUCAAGAGCAAAAACCCUAGGAGAUCUUAUUUCAAACUCAUGAUUCAAGAACUCACCAUCAACCUUUAUUAAUUCAAGUAUCCAGGUAUGUGAAGUGUUCAUCCAAGGGUUCCUCCCACCCUUAGAGCUCAAGAAACUCUUUUAAACUUGAAGUAAAUUAAUUUAAUGAUUUCCAUGAUUGGAUUUAAGUGUAUUCAUGAGUAUAAUGUUAAUUGGGUUUCUAAUUCAUGGUCUAUUAUAAGUUUCAUGUGGAAUUGAUUAUCAUGUAUGUUGUAUCAUGUGAAUUCAUGUAAAAGCCAUUGAAUUUGUGAAUUUGGGAAUUUAUGUUAUGAUUCCUACAUGUUGUUUAGUAUUAUGUGCAUAUUGGUGCUCCCCAAGUGUUUGUUAAAAUGCUCAUGUGAAUUAAAUAAGGAAAAAUCAUGACAUGUUAGUAUACGUGUCAACCUAUACCUUACAAGUGUUUGAUAAAAUGUGUAUGGAUGAGUUAUGUACAAGUGCACAGGGUUAUGCUUUUCAAGUUUACUCUAUGCUUUACUUUUUAUGCUAUCAAGUUAUGGGGGUAUUCAAUACUCAAAAAUUUAGCUACUUACCUAGAGCAAUAAUGGUUAUAGAAUAAUUUCAUUAGUGUUACGAACGGUAGUACUUAGUAGUUAGUCAUGUCUCAGUUCAGUAUUCAAUUUAGACCUCAGUAAACUCAGCCAGUUAACAGAACUCAAUAGUAUUCCGUCAGUCAAUGAAACCCAGUGAACUCAAGUCUAGCUAGACAACACGAUCAGUAACAACUAAAUCCAGUCUAGUGCAGAUUAAGAAUCAGUUCAGUGUCUAUUCAGUUGGGAGUAGGAUUCAGCAUCGAGCGAGAGUAGGGAUGACGACUUUCCCUUCAGAUAGGCAAGUCGUUAGUAGAAAUCCCUGUACUCCAUAACUAGGCUUGACUACUCUGAGGGGUCACCCAUUAGAUUAGGCUUGACUCCGCCCAUGUGUCACCCGUUAGUUAGGCUUGGUAUCCUGGUCUUUGUAGUAUUAGUAUUUGUGGCACAGUAUUAGCACCCUUCCAACUGGGUCAUAGGUUAGACUCCAUUAGUGUAGAUUUGGGGCAUGUUGGUUAGAUGAUUACCUCUCAUAGUUUCAAUUUCAGUCUUAGUAUAGAAUUCAGUUUAGUUCUACAGAUUCAUGAUUGUUAAAUACAGUCACCCAGCUCAGUAUAGACCUUAGAUCAGUUCUACAGAUUAUGACUGUCAGAUACAUUCACCCAACUCAGUAUAAAACUUAGAUUAGUUCUACAAAAUCAAGGCUAUCAAAUACAGUCACUCAGUUAUCAGUAAUACAGUAUCAAUAAUCUCAGAUAUCAGUAAAUUAGUAAUUCAAAACUUAGUAUCCAGUGUUAUCAUGACCUCAGUUACGAUUUAUGUGUUCAUGUAUGUACUCUCAUUUAGUUAUGUUCAUGUUGCUCAGCCAGUUAUUGUUCAUGCACAUGAACCCAUGCAUAUCAUCCUACCUCACUUAGCAUACCGGUACAUUCAAAGUACUAACACAUACUUCUCUUUUGCGCUAUGAUGUCUUAUAUCAUAGGUUCAGAUGCACAGGCUCCUGACUGUAAUUAGCGGCCCAGCUAUUCAGCAGUAGACUUAGUGGUAAGUCCUCAUAGUUUGAGGAUAGAGUAUUAUUUUUAGUAUUUCAGUAUUUAGUAGUCGGAGUUAGUUAGGGACUUGUCCCAUCAACUCCAUAAUUCAGACAGUUAGAGGCUUUCAGACUAGAGUACUUCAGAUAGAUAUUUUAGUAUUUAGUUUUCAGUAUUCAGUAUGUGUUUUCAAUCAUGAAACUUACGGUGAUUUCAGCCUACCUUUCACAUUUAUUUUAGUAAUAUUAUUAUUGUAUAGUUAUUAUUAUUCAGUGCACACAGCAGGUACCAGACAUGGAUUAGCUGGUGGUCCUUCAAGGUUGCUAGCAUCGUGUAAUAUCCGAGGUACAAACUCGAGGCAUUACAAACUUGGUAUUCAAAAGAGUCCUAGAAAGUCUAAAAGCCGCAUCAAGUAGAGUUUUGUGCAUGUGUAUGUAGAUUGCUACACUUAUGGACAGGAUGGUCUGAGAUAUUUUAGGAAAAGUUUCCCUUCUUUCAGUUUUUAUACCGUGCGAGUGAGCAUGAACUCAAGCUAAAUUCUCAGUAUAAUUAUGUUUUUCUUUUCGGUUACAAAACAUGCCUCCCAAAAAGACUAACCAAAGAAGAACUGGAAAUCAGUCAGCACUUCAGCCCGUUCAGGCAGACCCCCUAGAAGUGCAUGUCUCCCAUGCAAAAUUUAGAGUUGCAUUCACUACUCUAGCUAAUUCUGUAGUAGCUUAGAAUGAAAGACCAUCUACUAUUUAGGACAACCUUCUUGCCAACACUACUACAGCCAGGACUCAAGACUUUACCUGAAUGAACCCUCCAUUAUUUACUGGGUCUAAGUCAUAUAAGGACCCGCUGGAAUUCCUUGAUCAGGUGCAGAAAGUCAUAGACAUUAUGGGAGUGACUACCUGUUAGAGUGCUGAGUUGGCUGUAUAUCAGUUGCAGGAUGUGACUCCCUCAUGGUUCAAGCAGUCGAAGGCAGAGAAGGUCGCAGAUGUAGGGCCCAUAUAAUGAGAGGUAUGUGCCACUGAUUUCCUUGAUAGGUUCUUCCCACUAGAUUUAAAGGAAGCUAAGGUUUUGGAGUUUAUAAAUCUAAAGUAGGGCGACAUGAUAGUACAAGAGUAUUCUCUCAAGUUUACUUAGUUAGCCAGAUACGCUCCUUACGUGGUAGCAGAUAGCAGAUCUAAGAUGAGUAACUUUAUGUCGGGUAUGUAACAGUGUGGUCAAGGAAUGUAGGAUCGUAAGGCUGAUUAAGGAGAUUGACAUAUCCAGGAUCAUGGUCUAUGCUUAGUAGAUAGAGGAUGCUAAGAAUAAAGAAAAGGAGAGAAAGAACAAGAGAGUGAGAACAAGUAAUCUUAACUUCACCCAGCCUAAGUUAGAGGGUGGAAAUCAUUCUCAGUUCCAACUGAAAUCAUCUAUUCCAUCUCUAUCCUCAGCCAGUACUGCAGUGCCAAAAUUUAAAGAUGACAAUAGAGAUCAAGCAUCAGGCCCUAAAACCUAGGGUAGUGUUAGUAGUGCCCAAACAAACCCUCUUUGCCAGAAAUAUGGCAGGAACCAUCAGGGUGAGUGUAGAGCUAACAGUGGUAUGUCCUUUGGGUGUGGCAAUCUAGGCCAUCAGAUUCGAGAGUGUUGGGUAGUUACUCAGAAAGGUUGGGAGUUGCGCCAAUAGGGCCAGUCCCGUCAGUCGUCAGUUCCAGCUGGUCGCCCAACUUAGCAGGGUGCCUCUUCCAGUGCCACUAGCGGGUAACACCCAAACAGACUCUAUGCACUUUAGUCCUGAUAGGAUCAGAAAACUUCUCCUAAUGUGGUCGCUGGUAUAUUACAAGUUUAUAAUUUACAUGUUUAUGCUUUUCUAGAUCCAGGAGCUUCAUUGUCAUUUAUAACUCUUUAUAUAACUAUUGAAUUCGGAGUCAGUCCCGAAAUCCUAGUAGAGCUUUUUUCAGUCUUUACCCCAGUGGGUAAAUCUAUCAUAGCCCGAUGGGUAUAUAAGAACUUUCCGAUUAUGGUAUCUCAAAAAAACACUUCAGCAGACUUAGUAGAAUUAGAGAUGACAGAUUUUGAUGUCAUUCUUGGCAUGGAUUGGCUUUAUUUAUGCUAUGCCUAAGUUGACUACAAAAGUAGAAUUGUCCAAUUCUAGUUCUUAAAUGAACUUGUCCUAGAGUGGAGAGGUAAUACUUUAGCACUUAGGGGUCAACUUAUUUCUUACCUUAGGGCGAGAAAAAUGAUAUCUAAGGAAUGUGUUUACCAUCUUGUUUGAGUUGAAAACUCUAGUUCAGAGACCCCUAAUCUUGAAUCAGUGACAGUAAUAUGUAAAUUCCCAGAUGUAUUCCCUGAAGAUCUUCCCAGAGUUCCUCUCGAAAGGGAAAUUGACUUUAGAAUCGACCUUCUUCCAGAUACUUAGCCCAUAUCUAUUCUGCCAUAUAGAAUAGCUCCAACAGAACUCAAGAAAUUAAAAGAAUAGUUGAAGGAUCUCCUAGAUAAGGGAUUCAUCAAACCCACUGUGUCCCCGUGGGGUGCACUAAUUUUAUUCGUGCAUAAUAAAGAUGGUUUUCUUAGAAUGUGUAUAGACUACUGUCAGCUAAAUAAAGUCACAGUCAAGAACAAGUAUCUACUUCCCAGAAUCGAUGACUUGUUUUACCAACUUCAGGGUGCUAGUUACUUUUCUAAGAUAGAUCUCAUAUCUGGCUAUCAUCAGCUUAGAGUCAGGGAAUGUGACAUUCCAAAAAUAGCUUUUAGGACUCGGUAUAGUCACUUCGAAUUCUUAGUCAUGUCAUUUAGUCUUACCAAUGCCCCAGUAGCCUUCAUGAACUUGAUGAACUGUGUGUUCAAGCAGUACUUGGACAUGUUCGUCAUAGUCUUUACAGAUGAUAUCCUUGUCUACUCCCGUAGUGAACGUGAUCAUGCAGACCAUCUCAGAAUAGUAUUACAGACUCUUAAAAACUAUCAGCUGUUCGCCAAAUUCAGUAAGUGCAAAUUUUAGCUAAGUCAGUCGCUUUCCUCGGCCAUAUCAUUUCUAGUGAUGGCACUAGAGUUGAUCCCCAAAAGACUAAAGUAGUGAGAAACUAGCCUAGACCCAUCUUUCCAUUAACUAUCAGGAGUUUCUUGGGCUUGGCCGGCUAUUAUCGAUGGUUUGUUGAGCGAUUUUUGUCUAUUGCAUCCCUAUGUCCAAAUUAACUCAGAAGAAAGUCAAAUUUUAGUGGUCAAAUUCUUGUGAGAAGAGUUUUCAAGAGUUGAAGACUUGACUCACUACAGCCCCAGUUUUGACUUUACCAGAUGGUUCAGAUGGAUUUGUGGUAUAUUGUGGUGCUUCCAUGGUUGGUUUGGGGUAUGUUUUGAUGAAUAGAGGUAAGGUCAUAGCCUUUGCCUCUAAACAGCUUAACCCCAUGAAAAGAACUAUCCUACUCAUGCUCCUGAGUUAGCAGUUGUAGUGUUUUGGCUUAAAGAUUUGAAGGAAUUAUUUGUAUGAAGUGCACAUGGAUGUGGUCACUGACCAUAAGAGCCUGCAGUAUGUGUUCUCUCAGAAGGACCUAAACCUCCCUCAGAGAAGGUGGUUGGAGUUGUUAAAAGACUAUGGCAUGAGUGUUCUAUAUCAUCUAGGAAAGGCCAAUAUGGUGGCUGAUGCUCUCAGUAGAGUGUCUAUGGGUAGUGUUGCUCACAACGAUGGUGGUAAGAAGAAGUUAGUUCAAGAGGUCCAUCAACUUUCCCGACUAGGUGUCCGCUUAGUCGAUUCAGUAGAAGGUAGUGUAUGGGUACAGAAUAGUUCAGAAUCAUCUUUGGUCUCCGAGGUGAAGGAAAAACAGGAUAGGGAUCCCAGUUUAGUUAAGUUAAAAGAAUAAGUCAGAGAUCAGAAGGUAGAGGUUUUCUCCCAAGGGAAAGAUGGUGUAUUGCAUUGCCAGGGUCGACUAUGUGUGCCAGGUGUAGAUGACUUGAGGCAGCGGAUUCUUGCAGAAGCGCAUGGUGCACGCUACUCAAUUUAUCUAGGGGCCACCAAGAUGUACUGCAACUUGUGGGAAGUCUAUUGGUGGAGUGGGAUGAAGAGAGAUAUAGCAGAGUUUGUGGCUAAGUGCUCAAUGCAUCAGUAGGUUAAGAUUGAGCACCAGAAGCCUAAUGGGACCUUGUAGGAGUUCGUAUUCCCACUUAGAAGUGGGAGGAGGUGAACAUUGAUUUUAUGAUGGGUUUGCCCCAUACUUGCCAUCAGAAUGAUUCAGUUUGAGUCAUUAGAGAUAGGAUGACCAAAUUAGCUCAUUUCCUACUAGUCCAUACUUCUUAUUCAGCCUAGUAUUAUGCCAAGCUUAACGUUAGAGAGUUGGUCAGGUUGCAUGGAGUUCCGUUAUCCAUUAUUUCAGAUAGAGGUAAGCAGUUCACCUCUCAUUUUAGAAAAUCCUUCCAAAAGGGUCUUGGUACCCAAGUUCACCUCAGUAUAACCUUUUAUCCUCAGAGAGAUGGUUAACAAGAAAGGACCAUCCAGACCCUAGAAGAUAUGCUAAGGGCGUAUGCUAUUGACUUUAAGGGUAGUUGGGAUGACCACUUGCCUUUGAUUUAGUUUGCAUACAACAACAGUUACCAUUCUAGCAUUUAGAUGGCUCUAUUUGAGGUUCUCUAUGGGAGGAGGUAUAGAUCUCCCAUUGGUUGGUUUGAAAUGGUUAUAAUACCCCGUAAUUUCCCAGCUCAAUUUAGUCUUCAGUACACAAGAACCACUAUCUUGUAGGAAAUUUAGCCAGCUUUCUAACGAUAUAAAAUUUUCCCACAUCUAAUAAUCGGGUAAGAAGUUAUGGCUAUUUUAAGUUCCAAUUGUAAAACACAAUCAUUUCAGUCAAUAGCGCGUCGCGCCAUAGGUCCAAAUGACAAUUAUUAAUUUUUAGUGUGACUCCGCGAUCUCAUCGUAUCGCGGAGGGCCUCCAAUUCCCAAUUUUCCAAAUCCAAUAAGGGUCCCUAAUUACGCCGUAUCGCGCCGAUAGCCCAGUUCCCAAUGACACGGCGCGUUAGCGUCGCAUCGCUCUAGGGCCCUAAAUCAGAAAUUUGAAAAAAAUUAAAGUUUCAUCCAAGGUUAAAUUAGUCUUUUCCCAUGUAUUUAAUCCACCCAGAUGUGGGAUUUAAUCCCUAAAAACGUAUUUAGGUCAUUGUUAACUAACUUCUCCCCCAAUUUAAGACAUUCUUUCUCAAAGAUAGAAUACCCUAGCCUCCAAAUUUCAAGAGAAAUCUCAAGAAUCCCUCCGAGAUUCUUCAAGAACUUUAAGAAUUUAUAUUUUCAGGUAUGUUAGAUGUUUAUUCAUGGAUACUUACCUUCCAUGGAGCCCAAGAAUCUCCUUUUCAAAAUAUAAGACUUUGGAUUUCAUGCUUUCUUUGUUAGGAUUGAAUUGAAUUCAUGUUUCAUGUUAUUGUUGGGUUUUUUUCCAUGAUUUAAUUACAAAUUUCCAUGGAAUUAAUCAUUAUAUGUGUUGAAUUGUAUGAUCUUCAUGAUAAACCCUACGAUGUACAAGUUUAUUGAUGUAGCUAUGAUCACCAUGUGUGUUUACUAUUAUGUGACCUAAGCAUGCUCCUCAAGUGUUUGUCUAAAUGCCUAAGUGAAUGAAAUAGUGUCAUUAUACCAUGAUAGCAUGUACUCCCCAUUCAUGUACUAGUCAAUGCAUCCAAAUUGUUUGUUUAAACGUCUUAAUGAGUGAUUUAUGAACAUAUAGCCAAAGUCAUGCUUCCAAAACUUGUGCCAUGAUUUACUUUUAAUGUUAUCGAGUAUUGGGGGUACUCAAUACCUGACAAUCUAGCUGUUUAGUCUUAGUAAUUAUAGAAUAAAAUCCAAAGUAUCACGAAUAGCAGAACUCAGUUAGUUACCAAAUUCAGCUAACCCAGUCCAGUCGAAUCAGUCAGUGUCAUUCAGUUGGGAGUAGGAACUAGCACCGAGUGAGUCUAGAGGUGAUGACUUCUUCUGUUAGGAAGGUAGAGUCAUUAGUAGUAGUCUCUCACUACAGAACUACAUAGCCAGUAGGAUGUAAGGAGUCACCCAUCAGAUUAAGGCUUGGGUACCUCCUAGGGGUACCCGUCAGAUUAGGUUUGACUUCCUAUUCAGGGUCACCCAUCAGAUAGGCUUGACCACAAUAGUGUAUUUACUCGUAGUAUGGUACUGGCACCCUUCUUACUUGGGUUACAGGUUGGACCCCACUUAGUUUACUCAGGGGCAUAUCGGUUAAGUUAGAAUUCCCACAGUUUCAGUUUCAGUCUCGGUCUUCAGUGUAGAGCUUAGUUCAGUUCUAUAGAAUUAGGACUGUUAGAUACAGUCACUCAGUCAUUAAUAAUCUAGAUUAUCAAUGAUCUCAGAUUAUCAGUAUAUUCAGUUAUCAGUUAUCAGAUUCAGUUCUAGUAUACUCAGUUAUAGUAUGUACAUUAUGUUCAGUAGUUACAGAUCCUCUAUGUAUGCUAAUCCAACUCUUGCAUAUCAUUCAAUUAGUUAUUUUUCAUGUAUAUAAACCCAUGCAUUCAGCCUUACCUCAUUUAGCAUACCAGUACAUUCCCAUGUACUGAUCACAUACUCAUUUCUUGUGCUAUAAUGUCUCAUAUCAUAGGUUCGGACGCUCAGGUUCCUGACCGUACAUAGCCAGAUCCAGUUAUCAAAAACAGUUAUAGUAGUGAGUCUUCAUACUACGAGGAUAUUAGAUUACUUCAGUAUAUUCAUUAGUUCAUUAUUUCAAUAGUCGGAGUUAGUUGAGGACUUUUCCUAUCAACUCUAUAUUUAGAUAGUUAGAGGUUUUCAGACUAGAGUAUUUGAGACAGAUGUUCAGUAUUUCAUUAUUUUAUUUAGUUUUAAUUAUAGUAUUUUGAACCUUAUGGCAUUUAAGUCCAUCUUCCAUAUUAUUACAGUAUUUUUAUUCAGUGCUCACAGCAAGUACCAAUCAUGGGUUAGCUUAUGGUGUUUGAAGUGAUAAGCACCGUGUAGCAUUCAGGGUACAGACUCGGGGUGUUACAAUAGAUGAGGCUGUAGUGGUAGGGCCUAACUUGGUAUUUGAUACCUUAGAAAAGUUCAGUUGAUUAGGGAAAGGUUUAAGAUAACUUAGAGCCGAUAGAAAUCAUAUGUCGAUGUACGCAGAAAGGAUCUCGAGUUUGAGAUUGGUGACUAUGUGUAUUUGAAAAUAUCUCUUAUGAAGGGAGUGAAGAGGUUUGGCAAGAAGGGGAAGCUUAGUCCCAGAUAUGUCGAUCCUUACUAAAUUAUCAUCUAUUUUAGAAAGGUAGCUUACGAGCUUGAGUUGCCUUCAGACUUAGCUUCAGUAUACCCAGUGUUUCAUGUCUCCUUGCUAAAGAAAUGCAUAAGAUACCCAACCGUUGUAGUCCCUAUAGAAAACAUAUAUGCUCAGAUCAGUCUCUCUUAUAAAGAAGUUCCAGUCAAAAUCCUUGAUUAUCAGGUUCACAGACUAAGGAACAAAAAAGUCCCACUAGUUAAAUUUCUUUAGCAAAAUCAGUCUAUUGAGGGAGAUGCUUGGGAAGCAGAAGCAGAUAUACGUACCAAAUAUCCUUUCCUCUUCUUCGUAAACUUAGACUCAGCUCAAGGUAACAAUUUUCCUUAACUUUAAUUAGUUCCAUGUUCAGAUCUCUUUCAUGAGUUCGAUAUCAGUCCAGUUUCAUAGCACUCUCAUAUCAUGCAUAUCUUCAUGAAAUAGCUCAGUCAUAUGUUAUACUUUUAGAAUUUAGUCAUGCAUCAAAUAUGCAUGUUGCAUGUUCAGUAUGAUAAUUCAGUAUAUCAAUAGUUUCAGCCAUGAGAUCAUGCUUCAGUUGUGCAUGUCCAGUAUGUACUUUUAGUUUAUCAGUUCUCCCAUCUUAGUCAGUCUCAUUCGAGGACGAAUUUUCCCAAGGGGGAUAUAUUAUAAGACCCCAUAAAAUCCUAAGCUUAAUCCAGUUCUUUAAAGUUGUUAAAGGGUCCCAGACUUAGAAAAUUUUAGCUAAGUAUUCAGACUUGGUAUUAUUUUAACCUUCGUAAGAUGGAAACUUUAUUUCACGACCCUUAUGACUUUAAAAUAUCUAAUUUUAGAUUGAUUCAUGAUCAGGAAUAUAAGUAGGUCACUUUGGGUGAGUUUCGGAUUUUUUGGACUUCUUUUGAAGUACGUUUGGGAAUCCAAAAUAGUGUAUUGACAUAAUCUCGCCGUGCCGCGUUGCCCAUCGAGUCGAUUAAUAUUUUUUCUUAGUUCCCAGUGAAAAAUCUAGUGAGUCGAUGUGGAAUCGACAUCAUACAUCGGGUAUCGCAUCGACCCCAUCGACGCAGCACGUCGGGCUGCGCAUCACAAGGUUAGUUUUCAAUCAUUAAAAUUCCGCGUUCUUAAGGGUAUUUGAGUCAUUUCCCACGUCUAUUCAGCCCCCAAAACAAAAAAUUUAGCCCUCCAUAAGCCAAUUACACUCAUCCUCUCUCAAGUUACUCAAUAGAAAAAAACUUGGGAGAUCUAAUUUUAAACUCAUGAUUCAAGAACUCUCCAUCAACCUUCGUUAAUUCAAGUAUCCAGGUAUGUGAAGUGUUCAUUCAAGUGAGCUCAAGAAACUCUUUUAAACUUCAAGUAAAUUGAUUUCAUGAUUUCUAUGAUUGGAUUUAAGUGUAUUCGUGUGUAUAAUGUUAAUUGGGUUUCUAAUUCAUGGUCUAUUACAAGUUUCAUAUGGAAUUGAUUAUCAUGUGUGUAGUAUCAUGUGAAUUAAUGUUAAAGCCAUUGAAUUUGUGAAUUUAUGUUAUAAUGCCUACAUAUUGUUUAGUAUUAUAUAUAUAUUGGUGCUCCCCAAGUGUUUGUUAAAAUGCUCAUGUGAAUUAAAUGAGGAGAAAUCAUGACAUGUUAGUAUAUGUGUAAACCAAUACCUUACAAGUGUUUGAUAAAAUGUCUCUAUGGAUGAGUUAUGUACAAGUGCACAGUGUUAUGCUUUUCAAGUUUACUCUAUGCUUUACUUUUCAAGCUAUCAAUUCCUGGGGGUAUUCAAUACCAGAAAAUUUAGUUACUUAGCUAGAGCUACAAUGGUUACAAAACAGUCUCUACAGUGUUCCAAACGGUAGUACUCAGUAGUUAGUCACGAUCUUAGUUCAGUAUUCAGUUCAGACCUCAGUAAACUUAGUUAGUUAACAAAACUCAGUAGUAUUCUGUUAGUCAAUGGAACCCAUUGAACUCAGUCCAAUUAGAUAACACGAUCAGUAACAAUAAAUCCAGUCUAGUGUAGUCUAAGAAUUAGUUCAGUGUCUAUUCAGUUGGGAGUAGGAUUCAGCACCGAGUGAGAGCAGGGAUGAAAACUUCCCCAUUAGAUAGGCAGAUUAGUUAGUAUCAAUCCCUGUACUCCAGAAUUAUGUAUCCAAUGCAGGAUAAGGAGUCACCUACAGACUAGGCUUGAGUACCUCCCAGGGGUCACUCAUUAGAUUAGGCUUGACUCCGCCCAGGUGUCACUCGUCUACUAGUCUUAGCAUCCUGAUCUUUCUAGUGUUAGUACCCGUGGCUUGGUAUUAGCACCCUUCCAACUGGGUCACAGGUUGGACCCCAUCAUUACAGAUUUGGGGUAUUUUGGUUAGAUGAUUACCUCCCAUAGUUUCAGUUUUAGGCUCAGUAUAGAAUUUAGUUCAGUUCUACAGAUUCAUGACUAUUAGAUACAUUCACCCAGCUCAGUAUAGAACUCAGAUCAUUUCUAUAAAAUCAAGAUUGUUAGAUACAGUCACUCAGUUAACAGUGAUACAGUAUUAGUAAGCUCAGGUAUCAGUAAAUCAGUAAUUCAGAACUCAGUAUCCAGUGUUAUCAUGACCUCAGUUACGAUUUAUGUGUUCAUGCAUGUACUCUCAUUCAAUUAUGUUCAUGUUACUCAGCCAGUUAUUGUUCAUGCAUAUGAACCUAUGGAUAUCAACCUAUCUCACUUAGCAUACCAGUACAUUCAAAGUACUGGCACAUAUUUUUCUUUUGCUCUAUGAUGUCUUAUAUCAUAGGUUCAGACGCACGGGCUCCUGACCAUACUUAGCAGCCCAGGCAUUCACUAACAGACUUAGUGGUGAGUCCUCAUAGUUCAAGAAUAGGGUAUUAUUUUUAGUAUUUCAGUAUUUAGUAGUCGGAGUAAGUUGUGGACUUGUCCCAUCAACUCCAUAAUUUAGAAAGUUAGAGGCUUUCAAACUAGAGUAUUUUAGGUAGAUAUUUCAGUAUUCAGUUUUUAGUAUUCAGUAUAUAUUUUCAGUUAUGAAUCUUAUGGCGAUUUUAGCCUACCUUCUAUAUUUAUUUUAGUAAUAUCAUUAUUGUAGAGUUAUUAUUAUUUAGUAUUCACAGCAGGUACCAGUCAUGGGUUAGCUGGUUGUCCUUCGGGGUUGCUAGCACCGUGUAGCCUCCAGGGUACAGACUCGGGUUGUUACAACAUCCUUCAUACCAAACCUUUUAUAAGUUCUUUAGAAUAAUUACUUUAACAAAUGAAGGUCUCUUCAAUUGACUGGUGGAUUUUCAAUCCCAAAAAGAAUGUCAACUCAGCUAUCAUGGUCAUUUCAAAUUCACUUUGCAUUAACUCAAAAAAGUCCUUCAUAAUUGAGCAUUAGUACUUCCAAAGAUAAUGUCAUCAACAUAAAUUUGAAUAAUAAGAUUUUCAGAAUAAGUUCUUUUGAUGAAAAGAGUUAUAUUAAUUUUUCCUCUAGUAAAAUCAUGAUUUGUGAAAAAGUUUCUCAAUCUAUCAUACGAAACACGAGGAUCUUGUUUUAUAUCAUAAUAAACGUUAGAAAGUUUAAAACAUGAUAAGGAAAUUCAGGAUUUUUAAAUCCAGGGGGCUGUUUUACAAACACUUGUUCAUUAAUAACUACAUUUAAGAAAGUACUUUUCACAUCCUUUGAAUAUUUUAAAACCUUUAUGAGAUGCAUAAGCAAGCAAAAUUCGCAUAUAUUUUAAUCUCUCCACAGGAGAAAAUGUUCCAUUAUAGUCAAAUCCCUUUUGUUAUGAGUAGCCUUGAGCGACUAGACGAGUUUUUUUUUGGACUACCUUACCUGAUUCAUCCAUUUUAUUUUUGAAAACUUAGUUCUAAUGACUGAGGUGUUAUCAGGUUUUGGAGCAAGAGUACAUAUAUUAUUUUUAUCAAAUUGCUAUUGCUUUUACCCAAUUGUCAUCUUCUAGAGCCUCAUUGGAUUUUUUGGAUUGAAGUUGAGAUACAAGAGCUACAUUUGCAUUUGCUUACUAGAAGCCCUUGUCAUCAUGUCUUCUUUUGGAUCAUAAAUAAUCAACUUAUUUAGAUAAUUUUGUUUGCUUCUCCAUUCAUUUGGAAUCAUUUUAUCAUGAAUUGAUAAUUUGAAGCAGUUGUUGGCUGAUCAGUCUCACCGCCGACUUUAAGGGAGAAUCAACUUCAGUGGGAGUAAAUUUAUUUUUGUUUACUUGUUGAAUCUCAUCAUUUAUAGAACUAAAAUUCUUCACAAUAUGAUUAGUGUCAUCUAAAACAACAUGCAUAGAUUUUUCAAUGCAAAGAGUACAUUUAUUGAAACUUUUAUAAAAUCUACUAGAAUUAGAGUAGCCCAUGAAAAUACCUUCAUAACUUCAUGGAUCAAACUUAUCGAUAUUGUCCUUACCAUUGUUAUGAACAAAAUAUUAGAUCCAAAUACAUGAAAGUACCCACUGUUGGAUCUCCUAUUGUUCUGAAGCUCAUAAAAGGUCUUCUUCAGAAUAGGUCUGAUGAGACACUUAUUCAAAACAUGACAUGUAGUACUAUCAACUUCUGUUCAAAAUUUAUGGGGUAAAGUAUGUUCACAGAUCAUGAUUUGGAUCAUAUUUUGAAGAGCUUUAUUCUUGCGUUCGACCACACCAUUUUAUUGAGGAGAUCUUGGAGUGUAGAAUUUGUGAGUGUAACCUUGAUUGUUACAAAUGCUUUCAAAAUAUUUAUUCUCAAAUUCUCUUCCAUGAUCACUUUUAAUAGCAGAGAUAUAGUAACCUUUGUCUCUCUAAACCUUUUUACAGAAAACUUCAAAAUUUUAAAGUAUCAUCUUUGUUAGAAAGAAACAUAAUCCAAGUAAAUUGAGAGUAAUUAUUAAUAAUUACAAAGGCAUACUUUUUAAUACUAAUGCAAGCAGUUCGACUAGGAUCAAACGGAUCCAUAUAGAGUAGAUGCAGUGGUUUAGUAGUAUAGAUAAUACCUUUAACAUGAAAGAAAUUUCUAGUUUGCUUACCGAGUUGACAAGAAUCACAAAUGUGAGUUUUUUUGAAAUCAAACCUUGAAAUACUAGUAAAAAUUUCAUGUUUGGCUAGAUUUUCAAUUUGUCUCAUACCUGUAUGAUCAAGAUUUCUUUGCCCAAUUCAAGGAUCUUCAGAGAUAGAGAUAAGACAUAUAUGUCCUUCUAUUCUUUUGAUAGUUUCUAGGAUAUAUACAUUCCUAUGUCUAUUUUCAGCAAGAAGUUAUCUUUCAUACCUUUCAAUAAUGUAUUCAUCCUUUUUGAAUUUUAUUUCUAAAUCAGCACCACACAUACUCAGCAGAUUGUACUUCAAGCUUUUAACCAUAUAAACAUUAGUGAUAUCACAUGAUUCAUUAAAGAAGAUAGUACCAAUACCUAUUACUUUGAUUUUAGAGUUGUCUCCAAAACUUAUAUUGCCUUCAUCAAAAUCAGUUAUAGUUUUAAAAAGAUUUUUAUUUCCUGUUAUGUUAUUUGAACACUGACUGUUAAGAUGUCAUUUUUCUUUUUACUUUGAGAGGAAUUCAUGGGUCCCUCACUACAACAAAUAACAUAAUUAGCAAUGACUUUUUGCCAAUAACUAUAAGUUUGUUGGCUUAAAUCAGUAAAUAGCAACAACUUAAUUUUAUUAUUGGUAUAUUGUAAAACUUCUAACCAUGAGUUUUUUUUUGUUGAAAACGAUCUUAUUGUUGUUGCCAUAUUUUGGACAAUUAUAAUAAAUUUUAUAAAUAAAUAAAUUGGCACCAACAUAUUUAAAUUUUUGCUAAAAAUAUUAAUUUUCUCAACUUAUUUCAUUUGUGGCCCCAAAUUUUUUUUUGACGCACGCGACCAAAAUUUUCUCUUUUUAUCAUUUUUAUUCCCAAUUUCCCCCUCUUUUUAAUUCAACUUAAGCCAGAUUCUCAUUUUUAUUUUUAUUUUUAUUUUGUGUGAAAAGCAUACCUACCAAGAUAGAUUGAAGAGGCAAUAACUAAAGAUCACAAUCAUAGAAAAGAUAGUUAGGCGUGCUGAUAAGAACAUUAGAUAUCCUUUAAGAGGUAAUUCAUUUGUAUCUUUUGUUCUCUUUUUCUGAAAUCCUAAAUCUUUUAAGAGAUAUUUCCUUUUUAUACUAAAUUUGAUUAAAAUUGAAAACAUGAAGACGUGUCACUUCAUGAUUUUUAAUUUUCAAUUUGUCAAAUAGGAGAGAAGUCUAGUAUAAUUGAAUGAUGGGUCUAAGUGGAGAUAUCAAGUAUGAAAUUUCUAGGUUAUUAAUGUAAUCAUAUUCAAAUUUUAGUUGAGUUCUUUUGAAUUAUUGUUUAUCUUGCUGCAAUUUGACAAUUGUAUUUAGUUUAUCAAUUAUAUGUUUAUAUUUGGUUGUUGGGUUAUUUUUCUUGCCAUUCGAAGGUUAUGAUAGCACCUGACACUUAUUACAAUAUUUUUGCAAAAACUAGUACUAUUGCUCAAUGGAUUUGCUUCUUCAAAUAUUUGUGCUACUUCUCUAUUGGAUUGUUUGUAUGGAAUUGCUAUAUUUUUUCUUCUUUUCAAUCAGUUUCACAUCAAAAAAUAUUGGUAUAAAAUUGCUAUUAGAUUCCAUAUUAACAUAACAAAAUUAUUUAUAGUAGCAAAGCUACAGCUAGAAGCUUUAUGAUUUGAGUUAAAUUGAAAUAAAUUAGAAAAAAGGUGUUUGUGUCCUUGAUAUCUGACUUCUUCUUGAUGAGUCUACUGAGAAUAAGAAGAAAGCAUGUCGAACACAAUUUUAUUUGACCACAAAACUACUACAGUAUUGAUAUUUUUAUAUAAGUGGUUUUUAGCUCACUCAAUCGUUUUAAUUAAUGGUGUACUUUUUUGCGUAUUAGCUGAAUGUUAUAUUUAAUCAUUAGAGUUAUUCUUAUAGUUCUUAUAAAUUUCACUUUUCUGAGUCCAUUUCUGAUGAUGGCUAUCCCUAAACCACUAUCAAUCUUUGCCACUUUUGGUGACUUUUAGUAUCCUGAGACGUCAUUAGGUUUCUUUGCAAAUUCAAUGCAGAGGAAAGACUUUAUACAUUUUUCACCAUGAUGGGAUUCUUCUUCUAACUGCAAGAUUGCUUGUGAAGAAAUGUUAUCAUAACUGAUCUAAUGGGCGAUAAUGAUACACUUAAGCAAGAACAAGAUGGCCUUGCUCAUUAUAUGAACCAUAUAAAGCAAAACAUCCUUGUUGAAGCUUCCACUGUUGGUACCUUUGCCUCCUGCCUGUGUUGCCUCUUUGGUGAUUAUAGCUGAAAGAAUUGAGUUUUCUAUUCUAUCUGUGUUGAGGUUGCAUGCAAUAGAUUCUUAUGGUUUGAUACUUUUUCAAACUUUGUGCAUAGCGGGAGAUUUAGUGCACCAUGUUACAAUAUAUAUAUAGACUUCAUCUAGACCUAGAAUGUAAGACUUUGGUCCUGUAUGGUAGAGAAUCCUUUGAAGGUUAACAAUAAGGUUAAGAAUGUAAAGCCACCUUAAAAAAUGUUACACUGAUUUGGGAGCAAUCUGUUUGUUGUGGAUGUUGGUAUUGAUCGUAUUGUAUGUGCUAGAGAUGAAGGCGUUUUUAGUAUCUGGAAUGUCUCAAAAUAUUUGGAGGUCGAGAAGAGUGUUCUAGCAUUAUGAAGAUGGAUUAGAGAAUAGAAUGAGGAGGUGUAAACUUUGGUCUGAAAUAAUUAGUAAAGAUAGUCGGGCUGAAAGGUAGUCGUGCUGAACUGUUGGUCAGUGCUCCAUUGUUGUUAUGAAGAAUCAAUUAAAUAGUGAUAGAAAAAACUGGCAAAACAAAUAUAGGGUGGCCAAAAAUCUUAAGGCCUAGAAAUUAUUGUAGUUUGACAAUAUCUCCUAAAUAUGCUUUGCUCAUAGGUAAUCGUUGCAAAAGGCAUAUCUUAUUAUUUAAGUAGCUUCUGUAGUUUUACCCAUUUCUCAUUUACAUUAUCAUUCAAAUUGAUGAAACUAUCCUUUCCUUAUUUGUUUUUUUUUGGUGUCUUAUGACACUGACAAGGGGUUACCAAUGUUAGUUAAUUUUUGACACAUUCAGAAUGAAAAAAUUCUUCUAUUUUAAUGUGGUUAUAACCUCUGUUCCUGUUUUUAGUUUAUGCUAACAAUGAAUUAGUGAUAUUAUUAUCUUCUUUGAUUAUUUGCGAAACUAGUAAAUUGUGUUGUUAUAAUCAUAAAUAGCGAAGCACUAAGAGGGUGGUCGUAACAACAGUGAUAUCAUCUUCAUUGAUACUCAACUUUAUAUGACCAAUUGACUUGCAAUUCUUAUUCUUGCUUUAAUAUAUAGUGAUUUCUUUAAAAUCUAGUUUUGAUUUGAUGGAGAACAAUAACACGUGAAUUACUCUUGUGAUAUCUCCAGAUAUUUCAAAAUUCAUCACUUUGAAGGUCUUAUACUGUUUUCAUUUCAGGCAUUUGUUAGAUGGAAUGCUAUUGUUCAAGAAAAAUGUUAUGGCUUAUGGGAACAUUUAUGCAUAGUCUCAGUAAGUUUUGCUACAAAAAGUGAAGUUGAAAAAAAUGUAAGAAUUAGGUAGAAUCUUCAGAACGCCAACUCAGUCAAUCGACUAGGUCUCACAUUCUAUCCAUUUUGUUUAAUCAAGGUCUACUUUUAAGAAACGUUAGUGCUCUCUACAAAAUGAAACCAACCAAUACUUCAUCCUUAUAUUCCACACAAAUAUAAUCUGCCUAUUAAUCAACAUAAAAGAGUGCUCCUUAUAAUAAAUGUAUACAUUAGAGAUUUCUUAAAGAAAUGCUUCAAAUGCCAAAAUUAACAUACUUUGCAAUUCACAUAUUUUCCUAGACUUUCAUGGGGAUAAUGUAGCAUGUACUUUUAAGUUAAAUAGGUAAUGCAACACUGUAAUAGAUUUAAUAUAUUUGAGGAUAAGCCUAUACUAAAAAGAUAUAGCCGCGUAUUGUAAGAAUUAAAAUUUAAAAUGCUAUCCUAGAAUUGAGUCAAAAUAUUAGACAUUAAGAAAUUUGGUCUUGAUGCCCUUGUAAUUGCAUUUAUUUCCCCACGCAUGCCAUCUAUUGUCUUGUUUUUUAUUAGUGAGUCUCCUUUCACUCUGUUUGGAUCUUAUAUAUUGUAGUUCCAAGUGAUGUGAGACAAGUUGUUAAAGCAAGUCCUAUCAUACUAGCCGGAAGACUACCAAGUGAUUUUAAGGAUCUUGUUGAUGCAUGUCCAUCUUGUGAGGUGGUAAAAAGCUUUCUUUGUUACUUGUUAUGCCAUGUGAUGAUCUAUCCUUUUUGCAGUUAUUGAACUAACAAAAGCAUGCAAUUUCAAUGUUAUCAAAAUAUGCUAAUUUGAUUCUCUUUUUAGCCUGUCAAAUGGGUGAUGUCUUCUAAAAUUGACCUCCAAGAUAUCUUAAGUCCUAGAAAAUGUAUCUUUUUUUCAUAUUUUUUAGUUUGUGAACUAAGUUAUUGUUUUUUUUUCUUUUUACAUUUUUCAUCAAUAAUAUAAUUCUAUUUUGUGUUUCCCACCUAGAUUGUUGUUGUCACUUUUAGGAGACAUUUUUUAAUAUUAGUUAAUUAUUUUGUCAAGAAAUUUUACUUUUCAUAAUAUCUCCAAAGGUUAUAAGUGUUACUUGGGCCGAGAGUCCUUCGAAAACAACCUCUUUACAUUCAUAAGGUAAGGGUAAGACUCCAUACAUACGCUGUCUAAAAGGAUGAUAUUUAUUACUUAUUAUCAUAAAUGAUUUAGUAGUGAUACUUGUUUUGUUCUCCUGUUAGACAUAUAUGUCUUGAACUUUUCUUUUUGAAAUUGUGGAUAUUUACAUUCUAGAGUGAUAAUUGACUCUGUCAACAAUCUACAAAAGCAAUUGUAUUAUAUAACUUUUAUAACAGAUAAGAAUCAUAAACAUGAGAUAUAUAAAAUGGAAUUUCAUUAUUUAUAUAUGUUUUUUGAGGUUCUUCACUAAACUCUUUAAGUAUUCGUGGACUCUUAUACUUAGCUAUUUAGGUCUACAUUUUCAAUCACAUAGUCAUUAGUUGUGUUGUACGUUAAAUAAACAUUACUUGAUGUUAAUUCAAUUCAAAUAUUAUUUUGAAAAUUUAAUACACUCUUGAAAUUCAAUUCUAUAAUUGGUUUAUAUGAUAACAGAACAUCACUCUUGAUAGGAAAGAUCAAUUCAGAAUAAUGGAAACUCCAUGAUUAAAUUUUUUAAUCAGGUAAAGUCUAGAGAUAUACUUCUUCACGGUUCUUGUUCAAUUUGUAAUAAUGUAUUUUUUAGAUUUUUUAUAAGUGUAAUUAUGCUUGUCUUCUUUUAUUGAAAAUAUUAAUACUAUUGGUGAUCUGGUACAAGAACACACAAGUUGUUGGAUGAAGAUUUUUCUUCAAGUCACUAAACUAUUGAAAUAUAAUUUAGUGAAAUAGGGAAUGAUUAGAGUUGGACAUAUUUUGAUUCAAAUCAAAAAAAUUAAAAAACCAAAUUAAAAUUUAAUUUUGAUUUCGAUUUUUCGGAUUGGUUUCGAUUUUAAAUUUUAGAAAUUCGAUUAAACGGUUCAGUAUUUGAUUUUUACAAAAAAAAUAAAAUUUGGUUAAAUCAAAAAAUUAAAAAAACAAAAUUAUAUAAAUAAUAUAUAUAUAUAUAUAUAUUCAGUAUAUAUAAUAUGUAAUAAGUAACUCAAACUGCCAAACAUCUUACGAGUUAUGAGUUAUGUCCCUAACAUUAAGUGUUCAUUUCAACACUGGUUGUUGAUUUGUUUCAGACUUUCAGCGGUGCCUCAAGGAGAUGAGACAACAAGUGUCGAGUUUCUGGCUGUAGUUAUAUAUUAUGUUAAGCUUAUGGUUAUGUCAUUUCAUUUCAUGUGUGUCGAGUUAUUUAUAUUUGAGAAUGAAAAAUAGAUUUGAAAAAAUUAUUUUUUUAGAAAAAUCACCAAUUUUAAAUGCCCAGUCAUGACAAAGAAAGACUCACUUCUUUAAUUUUUCAAAUUGUAAUAAAAAUUUAAAAUAACGAAUCGAAUUUAUAGAAAUCAAACCAAAUCGAAUUUAUUUUGGUUUGGUUACGAUUGUCAUUUUCGUCAAUUCAAAAAUUAAAAAUCUAAAUCGAUAUUAAACCACCAAAUUGAACAAACUGAAUGCCCACCCCUAGGAAUGAUACCUUAUUUCUUUUGUAAAUAUAAACAUACUUUGGGAAUAAUGUGAACGUGAAAAUACAUACUUUGCUGGACAUCUUAUGUAUUGACUUUUACAUAUAUGAUGUAAAUACUAUAUUUGAUUUAAAUAUAUUCAAGAAAUUGUGGUUAUUCCAAAUUCAAAAUAUUUAUGAAAAAUUGUUGAAUUGUUUAAUAUGAAAUAUGAAUUAUGCACGUAGCAACAACUCAAAAGUUGUUGCUAAAACAUAUAGGUAGCUAGUUCUUUCAUCAAAAUUUAUAACAAAAAUAUUGUUGAAAAAAUACUUUAUUUUUAGCAAUAAGGGUUGUUUUUGCUAAAAGUUUUCAUAAGUCAAAAUAGCACUAUCUUUUAACAACAAAAUAUGAUCUAUGAUAACAAAAUUUUUUAUUGCGUCAAUUGAACUUUUUGGCAACAAUUUUGGUAGUUGUUGCAUUAACUUUUUACAUCGGGGUUUAUUAAAACAACAUGCCACUACUUUUUUAUUGUUGCAAAAUGUACUUUGGGCAACAACAUCCAAUAUAUAACAACAAAAAAUGGUUGGCAAAUGCCUUUCUUCUUGUAAUGCCUUUGGGUUAACACUAGGAUUUGUAUAUCUAGUUUUGAGCCUCCAAAUCAAUUUGUUAGGAUUUCUAGGAUGAAAUAUGCAAUUAUAAUAUUUAUGAUCAGGUCUUCCAUAGUGAUAGCAAGAUUAAAAGUAUUGUUUAUUAGUAGAGUAGGUAUUAUAGAUAUUAUGACCGUUAUUGAUUCCUUUAAUCUACUGACAAUAGUUUGUUGACCGUUGAGAUCCUUCAUAGCUAUAAUAUCUAUUGUGAUAGGUAUUAUGACUGUGAUUGCUUUCUUUGGUCCACUUACUAGAGUUAGUUAACCAUUGAGACCCUUCACAACUAUAA
rnacentral:lncRNA from 1 species